rnacentral:lncRNA from 1 species
UUUUUUUUUUUUUUGUGUGUGUGUGUGUGUUUCCAGUUAUUUUUAUCAGCACUUACAUGGGUGUUUGAAUUUUCAGACGUUGUGAUGGUCUCCAUUGUUGGAUGACCUUCUCUUUGGUGUGUCAAUCAGCAAAAUGCAAAGUCUGAUAACCUGAAAUUAGAAAUAUGCAGAGAGCUGUAAUCUGUAUGUAAAGCUACCUUCUUCUUUUUUCAGUUUGCACUAACCAACUUUGAGCCACAAGAAGGGAAACUAAAAUACUAAAUGAAAGUUGACUGACCUUUGAAAUAAACUCAUCAAAAGCAACCUCCUACUAUAAUCUCAGUUUUUUCAUCAGCGGGUGGAGUUGGGAAGACUGUCAAAGAAAGAAAAGGAGGGAACCUUUUGAAUUUUGAAACCCAAACCCUAAACUUAUUUCCAGAUUAAAUUAAAGAACAUUUCCUCUAUCCAUAUUUACUUGUUCAUUUUUUACUAUAACACGUAUUAAGAAAAUAAUAAUUGAAAUAGUUAAUUUUCUAUUUAAUCAUACUAAUCCAUAGAAUUCCAAAGUCAACUUACCAUUAACUCUGUAAAUAAAUUGAAGGCAAAUGUAAAAAAUAUUAUCAUUUUUUUAUUUGUCAAAAAUAACAAAUAAAAAGUCAAAAUUGGACAAAGGAAUAGAUAUAUGAUUAUAAAAAUAACAAAAAAUUUACUCUUUAAAUACAGUUAUGACAUCGUAUAAAAAUAGUGCAAUAGUAGUAUUUUUACAUGUUAUUUGACGGAAAUGACAAUGUAUUUAGCGAUAACCGAAGCACCCCUUUUCCAUUCAUAGAGAUCCAAUCGUCAAAAUCAAUAAAAAGGUCAUCAUGGAUCAAGAUUCAAAUGGAUCAAUCUUGUUGGGAGGUACUGCCCAAGGAAAGGAAAAGGUUACUUUCGGAUCAAGAAUAAUAAAUAAAAUGAAAACAAGAUAAAAUCCAUAUAUCAUAUAUGUAAAUAAUAAAACUGCUCUUUGUACCACUGUAUUUUUGGUUAAUUGAUUCUUACGAGGAAAAAAACAACUCAUAUUAACUGUUAGUUUAUUGAUACAAAUGUUUGUAGUGAUUUUAGAAUUACAAAGAAGAUGUGGAAAAAAUAUUUUUGUGAGCUUAAAAAAGAGGUGGACAAUAUUUGCUUGUAAUUUUUUCUCCUAGUCCUUAAAAACAAAUUUUCCAGCUAAAUACAUUUUCUGAAAGACAAUUUAAAUUCCUUCUUUGGCACAUUCCUGAAUAGAAUUCCUUAAUUAUGUAAUACCAAUAAUACCCUUAAAUGUCCAUCUAUAUAAACCCAAUUUAGGCGCGAAAGGAUUAUUAUUUCAACCCCCGUAUUCUCUGUAGUCUCUAUUCACUCCAUAUUUACACGAACGCAAAGCGAAAGCAAGCGAUCGGGAUUCGGAACCAAAGCUUGAAUUCACCGGGAAACGAAGUUGAAAUCAUCUUUUUCAACCCGUCGUACACAUUCAACAGGUUUCGCAGAUUCGUAUUGUUUUUGCUUUUACUUCGAUUCCUUCCGUAUGUAGAAAACUGUGAAAAUGUUUAAUCGAGGAAAUUUGGUGAUUCAUAAUCAAUUUUCGCAUAAUCUGAGCUGUGAAUUUUUGUUUCAAUUUGUAAAUUUGGUGAAUUGGUGAAGAGAUCAAGUCGUUCUUAUUGAGACAUUGAUUUUAGUUGCAUCAUCAACAAAUCCUCUAAUUUCUGACAAUUUUAGUUGGUGAUUGAUUUAAAAUUCAUCAAUUUGUGUAUGUUUUAUGCUACAAUAUGAAAUUUUAGAAUAGUCAAGAGUUGUAUGCGAAGAUGAUUAAUCUACUUGAACAGCUCAGGAGAGAGGUGAAUCCGAGCUAUCUAUGAUUAUAUUGAUUAGCUUUGGGGAGUAAAAUAGUUAAAUAGAGUUUGCACAAUGCUUCAAUAUUUGUUGCACUGCUGAAGCCUUGUCACCGGACCAGUUGGUAUAGUUGGAAAUUUUUUAAAUCGCACUUGUCUUCUAUUUUCCAGUUUAUUCAAUAGUAUUUUCUUUUGCACUCAUGAAUUGAUCAUGUUAUUUAGCUUCCUUAAUUGCCAGGAAACUUAAUUUCUGAUCCUUGAAUUCAUUCUAUUAGUAUCUCUGAGAUUGGAAAAGUGACAUAAGACUACGAAAAUAAAUGUAUGGUUCUCUUUUUAUAUCCUUUGCCACUGAGAAAGCGAACGGUCUCCACAUUCAAAUAGUUUCUGGAAUAUUCGUUUCUUUUUGGUUGGAUUUCGUAGCACUUUGUUAUUCCUUUGACAGCCUGCAGCAGUUAAGUACAAAACCAAUCUUUCUGUGAAGAUGGCAGAAACACAGAAGGGAGCAUCCUCGACUGUCAAAGCAAAAGACAACAAUUCAUUACUUGGUAUUUACCAUUUGUUUUGGGUUCCUACUAGGACUCUAACCUAUUUGUACCAUUAGAAACUGAAAAGUGCACUUCUUAAAACUUAAACAGAUCUGAUUUCAACAUUAAAUACAUACUAAAAUAGAUAGCUUCCUUCAACAGUAAUGUUAUGUAAUACCAAAUCUGUUUUAGUCAAUAUUACAAGAGACAAUCAAGAUGAGAUUCACUUCGCUGAUCCAUCAGUAUUUGGUGUACAAGAGACAUUUCAGCUAAUUAGCUUUCUGAAAAUGAGAAUGCCACGAACAACAGAUAUUGGGUGACAUCCUUCAAAAUGGGAAUGUUACAUUGAAGCAUAAUUUUUGUAAAAGAUAGUUAUCAAUAAGUUUUUGUUUAUCCACAUCUUGAGUAGUGCAGUUAUUAAAUCAGUAGUAAUUUGUUAAUGUCCUCGUGUCUUGGAUAAUUACUGUUUACAUUAUGUUAUGACAGAUCUGGAUAUUGGAAAUGACUUUCUUAAGUCGUUCAAAUCAGUGUCUAUGGGAGAAGACGAUGCAAUGGAUUUCGACUUUGGGCCUAUAUCCAAAAACAAGAAAAAGACAUUCAACUUUGACAAAGAGUAAACCCUGCAUAGCCUUGUUUCUAUUUCUGAUUGCAUAAUUAAUUUAUUCGCUAAGCUACUGUAUCAAAUACUCAUAUUCAUGAUUUUUAUUUUACUCGUAUAUUACCUUUUUAUUGUGUACUUGGAUCUAAGGUUUCUGUCAUUAACUUGCAAGUCUAUUUGUCUGCCUCUCUUAAUGGUGUUGUUCUAUGUUAUAAUUUGCAGUAUUUUUUGAUAAACAAUUUUCCAGACUUGAUUCAGGACAAGCUAAAGAAUGUAGAAUAACGGAGAAAUGAUAUAUUGCUUACGUUGACAUUGAACUUUCUUCAGGGAUAUGGAUUUCACUCUUGAUACUGAUUUUGGGAAGAUGUCAUCCUUCAACAUUGACAUGUCAGAUCUUGAUAUAUAUCCCCCAAGUAAAAAGGAUCAAAAAUCAAAGGAGACAUCAAAAGAAGAAUCCACUGUUGCUGUCAACAAAAAGAAAGGAGAUGGCUUCAAUUUUUCAUUUGAUUUUGAGUAUGUACUACCUUUGGUGGUCCUUUAUAUUUCUGUAUUUGUCUAAGGCGUAAAUUAUGCUUCAGUUCAUCAAAACAUGACUCAGUAUUUCUAUUGUAACUAAGUGGAGUAUCCCCUCCUGUGUUUGGUUCAGGUUGGAUAAUUUCAGGUUUGGCUCAAGUCAGGAGAGUAAUGGAAAAGCGAAGAACAACCAAGAAAAGGAUUGCUUCAAUUUUGGAUCAAGCCAGGAGAGUAGAGAGAAGGCAAAGAACAACCAAGAAAAGGAUUGUUUCAGUUUUGGAUCGAGCCAGGAGAGUAGAGAAAAGGCAAAGAACAACAAAGAAAAGGAUUGUUUUAGUUUUGGAUCAAGCCAGGAGAGUAGAGAAAAGGCAAUGAACGACCAAGAAAAGGAAUUUUCAUCUUCUAAUAGAAGUGGUAAUGAAGGCUCUGGAAGUCAUCUGAAUAAAGACAUUGGUUCGUUAGAGGAGGGGACAGUUCAGAAAUACACUGCAUCAGAGGCCGGGAUGACUUCAAUUAUUGAUUCUCAUAUUGACAUAGAUAAAAGUCAUGGCACCACAAAACAUUGUUUAUCUUCAAACCAUACUAUGAGCAACAAUGAAAUUUUAAAAUUGCAAUCUGCUGGCUAUGAAGUUUCACUGGAAAAAGAAAAAAGUUUGUUACAAGAAGUAGAGGAGGGAUCUUCUUUGAUAUCACAGAGUGAAUCAAGGAGGAAUAAUUCUUCAAGUUUACAGGAACAUGUUAAUUCUGUUGCUGCGGAUGUUAGUCUCUUAGGUGUAGGAACAGUUUCAAACAAAAAGGUGCUUUUGGACUCUGACACAAACUAUGAUAAGUCAGUUUUAGAAAAUUCCUCUUUGGAGGAUGUUGCAACCUCAAUGAAAGAUGCUAGUGAAAGGAGAAACUUUGACAGUGAUAAGCAUGUUUUGGAGACCAAUAAGGACAGGACUGAGACACAUUCCAACAGUAUGUCAAAUGCUACCGAAGAAAAAAUGCGAGACAUGAAAUUCGGUAACAACAUUCAGAGCCCAACUUCAGUGCCUUCUGCAUCCUCGUUAAGCAAGUAGGUCAAUAUAGACCAUCUCCCUUUUAUUCAUUCAGCAUUACUGUCCAGGAUUUCUAACUUGGAAACUGUAGAGCUUAGCUACUGCAGAGAAUGGUGUAAAAUAAGUAUCUGUCAUGCAUUUUAUGAUACUGUGGUGCACUUGCUUUCUCUGAAAUUGUCGCAGAAUAGUAGCUGAAAAAUUGACAGUAGAGAAAAGAAGAGAGACUGGUGUCAUCAGGUCAAAGUUUUUUAUGCCAUCAAUUAAACCUGCAGCACAGACGCAGACAACAACAUCACUGACUGAGACAAAAGUUCCUGCAUUUAGUAACAAAAGAAUUAGCCCCAUACCACAGAGUCGUCCAGCUGAAAUAAUGUAAGCCGAUGGUAUAAACUAGUCGAAAUUUUGUAGACAGUGUAUAUGAUAUAAUCUAAUACAGAUCUCAAGAUAACAAAGAUGAUGACACUGGAAGCAAGGCUGGUUUUGCCUCAGACUCUAGAUCUCUGCCAAAGAUUAACCCUCUUCAGACAGGAAGUCAGGAGGGAUGCCAAGUUUUAGGGACUUCUAUGUAAGUUUUUGGUAACUUACUUUUUGUAUCAUGCUUAAUUUCCAAGUUUCAUUUUACUUUAGCUGACCGUAAUUUCAUGGUAACUGCAAAAAUACUAACUUCUGUUGUUGAUAAUCCAUCGUCAUCGUAAUAAUAAUACUUUAGCAAGGGCUCCCAGUCGGAUGCUGCGAAAAACAUAAGAACGUUGACCGGCAAAUCUGCUCCCCAGAAAAGCAAAGCAAGCAGUAAAGAUCUUCUUACUUUCAGGUUUUUCCCCUCUGAUUGAUGCUUCCAACCAGAUAUGCCAUUGAAUUCACCUUGUAAAAUGUUUGACAUGCAUAUAAGACUAUUCCUCACCAUGCAUGGACUACUUAGCUGAUUUUGUUUUUUAGUUUAUUUGGCAACUAUUGUUUCUGUUUGGACGCCUGCACUAUAAAGAGUUAAUAAAUUUUUUAUUUUUUUAUUUUUAUAAAGAGUUAAUAUAUUGAUCUGAUUUAUUUGAAUUUUUUCUCUUAAGCUAGUCAUGCUUGUUGCAUAUGGAAAUCAUUUCACCCAAAAUUAUUAGUAAUACAAGAUAUUGUUUGGCAGUCUCAGUAGAUUAGAAGUCGUCUUACUUGUUAUGAAUGAUAGUUCCAUAUUUCUAAGCCAUAUAUAUGACGCUCUGAUAUUGUGCUUGAUUCCAGUCAAAUGUCUCUCUUGAUCAAUGAAAAUAGAAAUAUUUUCUAACCCAAAAAUCUUUGGCAUGUUUUCCUUCAGUUCUGGGGUAAAUCCUCCUAGCAAAACUCAACAGAUAGCUGCAUCCGCCCCAUGCAGCAUUGCCAUUCCAAGGAACAUAGCUCCGAUUCCAACUGCAAAGAACACUCUCAGCCAAGGAGACAAAACACUUCCAAUUAAAGCUGCCAGGAAUCUUCUAGAGACAUCUAGCUUAAAAAUUUCAGCGUACAAUACUAUUUUUCUUUCAAAUUCUUCAAAAAUACGCCUUCUCAUAUUUCUGCAAGCUGUCAAUCAAUCACAUGCUCCACAUGCAGAAAACUUGGUACAAAUCCUGAUACACCUCAGACAGUGUUGCAAAAAAAUUUGAAGUCCUCAAAAACUGUGGACCAGCAUGGUGGGUUUAAAGCUAUUUUACAAGCCAAAGAUAAUUCCAAAGAGAAGCUGAAGCAAACACCUGUUAACUUGUCUAUGAAGAGGAAAGUACCAGAGGUCUGUUUUCCUUUUCUCCACCACUUUCCCUUGCAAAAAGAGUAACUUUUCUGCAUAGUUACACAACCACUAUGGGACAUCUUUGAGAUUUGUGAUAGCUUUUAAUGCAGACAAAUUCAGAUUUCAUGAUCCUACUUCCGUCAAAGCGUCUUGCACAAUCACCCAAUGGAAGCAGGUUUUUCUAUAAAAUUAGUUAGUUUUCCAACUUUUCAUCAAUGCUGAAUGUAGGCAUGAUUACUCAUCAAAAUUCUACAGGGGAUCCUCUGAAGGUACAGAAAGUAUAUGCAACAAACAGGUGAUUGGUAGAAAAGGAACAGACAUAUAUGUUUGACAUAGUUUUGCAAGUGUUUCACUAUAUUGGAAUCUAGAAGCAUGUCAACAUUUUAAAUAUCUUCACCAUUCUUCACUGAUAGGUUAAUGACCAUGAUCAUUCUGUAAAUGGUAAUAAGACCAUCGAAUAUGAAGAUUGUCAAAUCUCUUUACGUGAUGUUCCUACGAGGAUGAACACCAAAGAGUUAGGAAGCCCUUCUGCGAUAGAAGAUGAGGACAACAUAAAGAAGGCUCAGACUUUGUCAAAGGAUCUUGAAGAUGUAAGGAGUGCUUCCCGCUAUUUUUCAUUCUUCCUUGUUUUCUAUUUCUGGUUUAGUAUAAGUAUCUUUUGAAAUAUUCUGAAAACUCAUGAAGUGAUCACUGCCACCAAUUUUGAAAAAAAAAAGAUAAAUGCUUGUUCAGCCAGUAUUUUUGUACUCUAAACAAAUAACCAGACAACAAAAAGUUCAUAUUUUAAGCUUCUCUGAGAAUUAGGUGCAUGAUACCACCUUCCCAUUUUAUAUUGGCUGCAUGAACAAGAAAAAUUGCAUUCUCUCUCAACUUGUUUUCUGUUGGUAAUUUUGACAUGUCCUUGUUGGUCCUAGAAAUUGUUACAGUAGUUCCUUUAGGUUUAUAUCUUUGGAUUUAAAUUUUCUUAAAAUCCUUAGCAUUGUAUCAAUCCUAGCUACUGAGUUCCAUCUUAGUGAAAACUUUCAGUAUGCUUGAAAGCAGGGUCUGUUUUCACUGCACCCCAGUAGUCCAAGAAGCAUCCAUAAAUUUGACAAAGAAAAAGAAGAGAGGAACUACAAGACAUUUUUGACUUGUUAUGUCUGAUUUUGUUGGUGGGCUACUGUAUCUCUUAUAUUGGUGGAACAUAAUAGUGUCCCCAAACCAAUUGGUUGAUGCAAUAAUUACUGUCCUAGGCUCCUAGCCUACUCUUUUUUUAAUGCUUUCAAGUGGAUAACUGAAAGUUCAAACAUUACGGGGGUGCAAGAAUUCUACAGUCUUCAGCUUAGCUUCUUUUAUUCUAACCAACAACAAUUUGUUCUUCGGUGAGGCCAGGACCUGAGGCAUGAUAUGGGAGACUGUCUUCAACUUAGCUCCUUUUCCUCUGAGCUAACAACAAUUUGUUCUUCAUUGAGGCUUGGACCUGAGGCAUGGGACUGGAGACUGUCAUGCUGGCUAAUAAUAGUUUAUUGUGUUUGCAGAUAUGCAACAUGCUGAGAAAAAAACAAGAGGAGGCAAAAGAACUAUUAGUUCGAGCUGUUGUGAACAACAAUAAGCUGCUUCUGCUUAACCAUCCCAUUUAUAAAGAGAAGAUAUCCUUAUUACUAACCUACUGUCGCGCCACUUCCUUUUCACAAUUUCAAUUCUCUAUUUAAAAAUAAGUUGUGUAUGCCUUCACCCCCUAGAACAUACACAGGGUUCAGAAAUUUGCUGCUGGACUGAUGACGAGGAAUCACCAAAUAGAAUCACAAUAAGACAACAUAGAGGUAUUUUUCUCCUAUGUGUGUAACACACCACGAAAAGGACUUGAGUAAAGAUAUUAAACACAAACCUUACUGCUUUGUUUGUCAUCCCUGGUUCCAGUUCUGUAGUUGCAAAUUUCUCACUGUGUAAAGACCUUCUCUUUGUUAAUUAUGUAUGACUACUAAAGACCUUCUUUUCGUUAAGUAUGGAUGACUACUAACGCCAUGUAGUUUCAGGCAGAGUCUGCUGCAUGUUCAAAUGCAGUGACGGAGAAUCUUUUUUCUUUGCAUUCCUCGAGUGAAGAAGCAUUGACUACACAAAUGUAAAAGAAGACUUUUGCUAAUAACAAAUUAAAGUGGUUACUCUCAGAGGCAGAUCUUCCGCUGAAGGGAAAUCAAACUUCUACUACAUUUCAAGUAUCCCAUAUACAUUUGGCAUCUAAUAAUCUGUCCAUGUACAGGUGUGGGCAGUCUGCUUAUACUGAGAGCACCUGAAGAUAUUGAACCUCUUGUUAUACUCUUUACACCAUAAUUUUGUGCUUCUUUACAGCUUCCCCUUCUUGGGCACCUUAUAAAGCCGCACUAAAUGAGAUAUUUCUUUCUUCAAUUACUACCUAUGUUAUUCAUUUCCAAAUAUAGGUCGAUAGCCCAAGAUCUGAAGUAACUCUUAACAGUAUGAGCUAAAAGUUGAACUUAUGACGAGUAACAGGUUAAAACACUGGGGAAGGAGAUAACAGUUUUAAAUUCUAGGGCAUACAUUUUAUGAAAUUACUUAAAGUGGAAUCAGAACAAUCUCUAGAAAUUUUUAUAAACCAUCGAGUUUGCUUAGUAUUUUUUUUUCCUCAAGUGACCAACUUGUCAUACUGUGGAGCUCUAGGUGGCAUAUUUUGUUUUUUAACAAAAAUAAGAGGUAAUAUGUGGUAAUAAAUAAGGUAUGAGGUUGGGUCAUACCUUUCUAAAUCUUGUUGCAGGAGAAAGAGGCUUCCCUUUGCAAAGUUGAAGGAAACAAGAGUUGAGAAGACUAAUGAAAAAUCAAUUACUAUUAGUCUUUAGAUUAACACUCCCAAGACUAAUAUUACAAUGAGACCAUAGUUCCUCUAUGGAGAUCUUUUUUCCUGACUAAACCACCAUCAUUAAAAAAAAAAAAAAAAGAAGAAAAAUGAAACUUGACUCAUAUGCCUGCCUAGACGUUGCAUCCUCCUCCCCUGAUCAUUGCUAUGUAAUGUGAAAUUCUACUGUUCAAUUACUCGAGUCAGGAAUAACAGGGGGGGGGGAUAAGCAACAUGGAGACCAGUACGUUGGCCAUAGGCUUGUUGUUGAGAGAAUUAUAUGCCAAUUCUCACUUUAUUAGAGUAUGAUGUCAAUCAGAUAACUAUAACACUGGUUGCAGUUAAAGCAUUCUAAAAGUUGGUUUCUCAUUGUUAGGUCAAAAGAGUGGAGGCAACUAAUAGAUUAGGUAAACAUAAUUUUCAAUGCUAGGUCUUUUAAGUUAACUGGAGCCACAAGGACACUGUCCAUAUCAUGGAGCUGAUAAGCUUUUCUGUAUAUUGAGGUGAAUUUAAGGCGAGUUAAGGUUCAAUUGAACUCUAUUGUUUUUAGCUUGAAUUAUGUAUAUAUGCAUACGUAAAAAAAUAUUUAAAAUGUACAAAUAUAAUGAGACUAUGGUCAUUUUGAACUUCUUACUUUAGAUCUUGGAUUCACCUACAUGACCAUUUAAUAAUUUUUUUAAAUUUUGACUUAGGAUUAUAGUUUUUUUGCAAGAGAAACAGGGCUAUCAGGAAUGAGAAUAUAUCUACUUUCUAAUUUUAUUGAAGUUUAACUUUGAGGGGUGCAUAAAUUAAUGAACAUCCUACUUUCGAGAGCAUACUAUAGUAAAAGAUUCUGACUGCGCAGUCUUAUUUCAUUUCAAUUCCCCUGCUAUGCUGAGUCUAUGUUAGUUAAAGAAGGGAACCAUUAUCUGCUGAUAAGAGUGAUUUUGGGUGCAUUUAACUGUCGACAUGACAUUCUUUAAUUAGCAUGCUUUAUCAAAGUUAGACUUUUUUUUAUUCUUUGGACAUGAAAUGGUAGAAAAAACAGUCUUAAAUUUUGAACAAGAAAAUUAUCCGAAUUUAGACAAAGAUAUGGCACAACUUCAUAUUACCAAAGACAUGACCUUAGAUAGGAGGGUGUGGAGGUCACGUAUAAGCAUAGAAGGUUAGAAGGUAGUGAAGUGUUGUCUUGUUUUUCGAGGGUAUAGGCUUGUUGGUGUUUGUCGUAGUACUAGCGGUAUUCUUGCGGUUCUUGCUUUUGAUAUCUAUCAUUAUAUGUUUAUUGUGUUUCAGUUACUGCACUAUUUUAUUGUUGUUCUUAUUCCUUUUCACUACUUCUCUUAUUAGUUGUUAUGUUGUUUCACUGUUUUCUUCUUUUCUAUACCUGAUUUCCUGUACUUGAGUCGAGGGUCUUUCAAAACCAGUCUCUCUACCUCCACGAGGUAGUACUACGGCCUGCAUACACCUCUAUCUACCCCAAUUGUGAGAUUUCACUGGGUAUGUUGUUGUAAAAUUAUCUGAACACCUAAUUCGGAUAAUAUGGUACAAAGAUCUUGAAAUUUUCUUAUCUAAACCACAACUUUACUAUUGAUGUUGAGAUGCUGUUUUCAUCUUAGUUCGUAUUGGCUUUUGCAUUUAAAAAAGCUCUCUUCUUUUUUCUGCUUGGCUCACUAUAUCUAUAUUAGUUUCAUGUUUAUCAGAAAUGACCAAUCCAUUAGGUAUAUAUCUGCUUAUAAAUUGGCUGUUGACGUAUAAUAAACCGUUCAGCCAAUGAACUUAAUUCUAUCCCCAUCAGCAUCUAUUCAAAUUAGAUGAAUUCCCUGUUGUAUAUUCACUAUUUUUAUCAAAGUCAUCCUCCAUAAUCCUUACAUGUGGUCCUCACUAAAUCUUUAUGCAUGGCCCAAAAAAAGCAAACUUAUAACCUUUUAAGAUAAGCUGGCACAAAGAGGGUUGACAUUUUCCUAGGUAUCUCUUGAGAAAGAAUAAACUUAUAAUUUCAUAAAUGGACAAUGCAGACCUCAUGCCUUAACAUUACUGGAUAGUGAGAUUUGUUUGGAUACAAAUAAAGACAAAAACUUUGUGCUUCUUGAAUCAGUUUCCUCUAACUAAAGGUCUACAAAUGUAUAAAAAAAUUAUCUAACAUUACCAGUAGUCACAACAAGAAAUGUAUAUAAUGGGACUGAUCUCUAGCUGUUCUGAAAUACUCUGGCUAGUUACAAAUUCUUGAAUGAUAAAUACAAUGUCUAAGUUCAAGUAUUUAGCUUGCAUUAUUUUGCUAUUGCUUUCAUCUGCAUUACUCGAGGCUCGCCCCAUAAGGUCUAUUAGGAUUGCCAGGGAAGCAUUGGAGGAACAAUUCGAAAGAGAGAAGGCGAAAUUUGGCUCACACGAGUGGCCUCAGCGAGUGAGUCCAGGAGGACCUGACCCUCAUCACCAUUUUAAACACAUCUAAUCAGAAAGUUAAUACUCUUGCCAAGACUGAGUAAGAACUAGGGAAGUAGAAAUACAGAUUAAUCGAUCCUCCCUGCAUCCUAGUGUCCAAAUUCUAUGUUAUUCAUACUCUUUAAAAAUGUCAUCGGGCACCUGUCAGAUUCUCCAAAAGUAAAUACAUUUUUGGAGGAUCUGACAUGUGUGCGGCGGCAUUCUUGAAGGAGCUGAGUAACAUAGUCCAAAACUGGCUCAGUUUGUGUCUAGAUACAGUGUGUGAUUAUAGUUACUAACAAGGAAUGUUUUUUUUCCUUCUGUAUAAUAAUAAUAAUAUGAUCUGAUGGUUUUUGGACAUUUCCCUUUUGUAUUGCCUUUUACGUUAAAUAUACUAAACUCAGAAUAAUUUCUCUUUAUUUUGCUGAAUUAAUCAAUUCUGAUCUUUGUGACUUGUACGUGGGUCUUUAUUUUGGUCAGUUUAAUAUUCUUCAGCAGACUCUGAACUGUUGUCUAGUAGAAAAAAUAAUACAUUCAAGAAUUUAACUAACAUCUGCUGAUACUUACUUCUGAAUUUGAUCCAAGUAGGAAUUCAAAAUAAAACAAGGGAGUAUCAAAUUAUCUGAUGUUAUAUUACACUACUAGAUACAAAAGUCCGGACAAGUCCGAUCUCAAUAUAUAUGAUUUUAUUUAUUUUAGUUUUAUAAUUUUAUUGUUAAUUAUUUUUAUAAUAUUUUAAACAUACUUUUUAAAUAAUAUAUGAGACACAUGUGAUAUGUUAAGAGUCCUAAUUUGCAAGCAGCCACAAUAAACCUAAAAUGACUAAAUUAUCCUCGCACAAUUUUAUUUCCGGGAACCACACACGUCGACCGACACAGGCGUGCCUUAUAUAUUAGUAGUGGAUACACAAAUAGUAUAAAAAACUUUUGUUUUAUUAGGCAACUUUAGGUAAUAAAAAAAUAAAUAAACUUUAGGUGAUUGCCCAUAAAAAGUGAAAUCUGUAACGGAAAAAAUAACAAAGUAAAUAACAGUAAUAGUGUGACAAUUUUUAUCUGGUGAUUUCCACAAAUAGCCUAUUUAAAUAUGUUAAGGAAUGAAAAAGUCUAAUAUCAGUAGUUAAUAAGAUACGUACUCUCCUGAUAAGUGUUGACAAUCAUCUUUACUUUUGAGCUUUUUUUUAAGUGUGAGUUAAGACUUAAGUUAAUGAUCUAAUUUUAUAUGGCAUCAAAGUAUGAUUUAUCUUAUUCAAUGUUAGGCUUCUAAAAAUUAAAUUUUAUUCACGCACUAAAUGUCAUAAUUUCUUAAUUAUUUGAUAUUGGAAAAAGCUUUUCUUAACAAGAAGUUAUAGCUAUCGAGGAUCAUUUCAACAUUUUGUAACUAAUUUGUCAGGGAUUUUAGUCAAAAUUAUGACAAUCACUGUAAUUUGUUACAGAAAAAUUUUAACAAUAUAUUUUUUGUUUCAAAAUUGUUGCAAAUCAACUAUAAAUUUGAUAUCCGAUCUUCUAAUGUCAGUCCUAACAAUUUUCAUACAUUUGAAUCAAUUCAAACCUCCAAUAAUCACUAGAUCCACUUUGUAUUCUUCUACGAACAAGCUUAAUAAAACCCAACGAUGAUACUUUUCAAUUGUCUUCGAUCAAACCCAAUCCAAAUUAAUAACAAAUAAAUAAUAAAUAUUCAGUCUUUUAAAAUGCCCGACCAAUAUAUAUUCUACUAUAUUAGAAGAGUGAGGGUAUCAACAUGUGUGCUUUAGGUCAUAAAUUCAUUUUAUUAAGGGCAGUUUUAUCAUUGUAACUAAUAGUCCUAUUCUCAAUAUUAUGUUUAUGUGUUACAGAUGGCUUUGGUUGCCAUCUCAGUGUUAGAUGGCUUUCAUGCCAAAUUCCUCAUUCCUAUAUUAUGUUCAUCCCUUGUCCUCUCUCUUUGCUUACCCAAAAACUACACUUUUGCCUUUUCUUUUUAUAUGAAUUGAUGGAAUAUUAUUCCCAAAAGAAAUAAUAUGAUGUGAUGAAGACGAUGAAUUAGUACAAUUAAAAGAAGAAGAUGAACAAAAAAAAUGCAAUUUUGGGAAUUUGUAAUGAAUUGGAAGUGCUGGAAUUUUGAUUAGGGAAUGAUGUGAACAUUUCAAAAAAAUCAAAUGGUGCUUCUUAACCAUAUGUAUUGUUAUUAUUAUUAAUUGAACCUUGCAUUUUUCAUGGCUAAAUAGCUUAACAAAUUUAAAAUUUUCAGGUAUACAAUUUGUUUUCCAAUUCCAUUAAUUGUUUUUUUUCUUAGAUAGUGGACAACGAAUGUCACUUGUGAGCAGUAGUCAUUGUUACGAAAGUCGUGGGGUUAUUGUUUUUAGGGAAAAUUACUCAAAUACACGUCUUAUGUUUCCAUAUUUCUAAUAUUCCCUUUUAUUUCUAAAAACCUCUAACCUUAUUUCUCUCCUAAUUCUAAAUUAUUUUAUAAUGUAUCCGAGCUACAAUUAUGUAUCCGGUUUAUUUUACUUUUUCAGGAAUUGAGGGGAUGAAAGGCAAGGACAUUUUUUUUAUUUGUGUGUUAAUUUAGUGUAUAAAUUAUAUACAAAAUACCGGCCAAUAAUGUCAGUGUUGUAGCUAGCUUGAGUUGAAAAUUUGGCUACCUCAUUCUUGGUGUCAUUUCCCAUUCCCACACAAUAGUGUACCUUGUUAAUCUUAAUAUAUGUGAUGUAUAUAUAAAUAAUAUGUUGUAAAUAUGUAUUUACUCAAAAUGCUUUAGCUACCCAGAUCAUAAGUAAUUGUUUCUUUCAAAUUGACAUUUAAAAAAUGAUUUUCAUUUUUCACACAUAUAUAUCUAGAUAAAUACACACAAAUAUAUAUCUAGAUAAAUAUAGGACCCAUGCGUGCAUGGGCAUUAUUCGUCUAGUAUAUAUAUAUUUGCACAAUUUUUUUAAACGGAAGUCAAAAAUUAAACACCAGUCUUUCAAAAGGCCAUUUUGUAAAAAAUCAUGGCCUUUCUUUCCCUUAAAUUGGAGGACAUAUGGCCGGGGUGGACUCUUUCGAAGCAUCCAAGGGGCAUAAAUGAUGGGAUAAGUGACCAUUUCCUCAAAGAUCCUUUAUAUAAAGCUUAGACACUUCAGUUAAUUUGUUGAUACAUAUAAUAUUUUAUUAGUGAGAUCCUAAAAUUUGAAGAUCAUUAUGGAAGAUUAGGCUUAAUUAAUUGAUGAUUAAGGAUUAAUUUCAGAUGCACGCCAGAGCACUUUGCUUUCAUCCUACUGGAAACUUAUAAAGCAAGGGCAUUACACAUUAAUACAUUCCUUGCUGGGAUAUUACUUUUAAAUUUUAUUUUUGCUCUUAUACUUAUCUCUACAACAUCCUCUUCUUUGAAUAUUUUGACAUAUUGCUUUACUCAAUGAAUUAUUAUUAUUAGGUAAUUUGUAAUGACGUAUGUUUGCAAAGUCAUAGUUUCUCUUAGAUCGAAACGAAAUAAUCAAAUUUGUGUAAAAGCUAGCAAACAGAGAAAAUCUUAAAUUCAAGGUAACGACUAAUCUCAAAACAUAUUUUACUUAGAUAUUAGUAUAUGAUUUUUAUUCAUGACGCUUGGGUAAUAACUAAGAUAAAGAGUUGAUUACACUAUAACAAAAAUAGCUUUUAUCUGUAAAUAAAUAUGAAUAUUAAUAAAAAAUGCUAAAACUUUUAUCGAUAUUAAUUAAUUGUCAUUGAAUUCAAUAGUGCUAUAGAUUUUAGAGACAUUUACAAAGAGUAUUAAUUAUCUCUGAAAAAUAACAAUAUUUAACGAUACAUAAGUUAUUACUUAUUAUUAUUAAAAAUUAAUUAUCGCUAGAAAUCAUAGUAUCCUGCUAACGGCAAGUGGUGGUAUCUGGUGUUAAUUAAAAGCCGCAAUGUUUCGAUAAGUAUCGUAGAAAGUAGUCAACAUAUAUAUCAACUAUUAGUUGUCACUUAUCAAGUGGGGCUUAAAAGCUUUUCACUUUUGUGCUUAUUUAAUCUCUUCUAUGAAAACACCAACUAAUUAGUUGAUGUUACAAUUGCGUUCAGACUAUUUGACUUGUAUAAAUUGACAAUAUUAGUACAGUAAUUGUCAAAAAAGCAGCAAAUCAACCAUAUGAUGUGAUUGUGACAUGGAUUAGCACCAUAUCUUUCACAUACCGGAAAUGCCACAGAUAAUCUAAUGUAAUGUAAAACCAUUCUUUUUUUCUUGUUCUUAUUAUAAUUUGACCAACGAGGUUAUAAGAUUUUUUUAAUUGAUUUUGUUUGGAAUUUUGUGUUUGAUCCAUUGAGAUUCUGGGCCACGACUUGAAGGUCGGUCACUAUCCACCAUUGACAUUAAAGAACACACGUUAGGAAUUUUUUUAUGAACCAGCCCUCGGCCCAACGCCGAUACCUACAUGAAUAUCGCGUAACUAGUUAUUAAGCCGAGAAGAAGCUACAUAACUGAAAGGCCUUCAUAAAGGUUGAUUUGGGACCCAGACCCAAUUAACAACUAGCUAAAAAGGAUGACGGAUGAGAAAGAACGAUUUAUGUAAAUUGUUGAGAAAAAUGUCUAGUCCUCUCAUCCCCUUUCUCUGAGUUCCCUUCCUUCUACUUGUGUUCUUUAAUUUCCCCUUUAGUUCUUAAUUUCCUUUGUAAUUUCAAUUACGAGUUAGUGAAAUAGAUCUAUCGGUUGUUUGAGUUUGAAUUGCGUUGGACUUGUUAUUGGGUUUAUUACAAAUUUUCACCCAACAUUAUACUAGAGCAUCAAUUCAUGAUCAUUAUAUACACAAUAGUCGUUCUGAAUCUGAUCAUCAUCUUCAUUAUUAUUUUGAAUCUCAUUAUUCUAAAAAAAUUGUUUGGAUGUAUUAAUUAGUCAUAGGAAUUAGAUCAAUAUAUCAACUAAGCUCUCACUUUUUUGACAACAUAUUGAAAAUUUUCUUAUCCAAAAGAUAAUAUCGAUAUCAAGAACAACAUAGUCACUUUCAGAGCCAUGAUCACCAAAUAAUUUAGGUGGACCAUUAGAUUAUUUUCACAAAAUCCAAAGCAUCAUUCUGCAUUACAUGAAAAAUAAAAGACAUCAUAUUCUAACCGCCUAUGAAGUGUAAACGGACAGGCCACCUAAUAGUAACCAAAAAAGAAGUGUUUUAAUAUUAGCCAUAAAAGAUAAGAUACUUUAGAAGAAGGGGACAAGAAUCUAGUUAUUUUAUUGUUUGUCUUUUGUCUUUCCACAUAAUGAAGAUAAUUCUUAGUACAAUGUUGACUCACAAAAAGAUUAUAGUAAAUCAUGUAUAUAUGUCAUUUGGCCUCCAUAUCCACUUCGCUAAUUUUAAAUCUUCAUUUCCUUGUCUUUCUUUGAUGUCCUCAAGCACCUUGUAGACAGCAAAAAAGGCUUCAUCAUCGGAUCCUUUAUCUUUUAAGAAUCGGUGAUGCAAUCUGACUUUUCACUAAAGGUUCAAAAUAUGAAAAUUCAAAUACACGAAGAAGCUUAAAGGAAUUCAACAUUUCUGUAAAUACAUAAAAAAUAAUUUUAAGCACGUAUAUAAAUAAUAUAAUUUUUUAUUGAAAAGUCCUAACUAGCUCCUCCCCGAUAAGAACCCCAAGAAAACUAUUACUAGUUGGAUAAGCACAUUCUCAAGAAAAAAUAAAACAAUUAAUUACCGACAAUAUAAUUGACUAUUUAGGAACUUGAAAGAAUGAUAGUACUAAUUAAGAUAUAAAAAUAAUCAAAAGGUCUCCUAUGACCAAGAGAUUCUUCAUCAUUUGUCUUUUUUUGCGUUGCUAUAUGUGGAGCGGCGAUUCGAAUAUAAAGAAAAAGAUUUAAAAUGCAAAGAACAAUAUGACAAGAAAAACUUUUAAGGCAUACGUAUAUCUUUUGUCUUUUGUCUUAAAGUAAACAUUAAUGGAUUUAUCUUUUUGCUAUUACAUCAGAGCUACAAGUUGGGACAACACUUAUAACUCUUAUGUGAUCGAGGAUACGAUCUAUUUUCAUACUGAGGAGUAAUCCAUGCUAGGCUAUGUGUGUGACGCUGAUAACGGAAGGUGAGCAACUCACAAAGGCUGAUUGUUAGAUUUCUAGACAGACAAUCUUCUUUAAAAACAAGUGCAUAUGACACUUUAAACAGAUUUCUCUUUAAAAUUAAGAAAGAGGAAGCUAAUGUAUAGUGCUAUGCGUGUAAGACAUUAAACUGUACGUGUGUUUUUUGGAUUCGAUAUGCAACACACGUAGCGCAAGGGACAAUCCAUUAUGAGAUCACUUUGGGGUAAAAAACCGAAAAUACUGUUGAGAAUGAGAAGACCAAAGACGAAGCAAAUGUGUGAACCUGGUCCUUUGUAUAUGUUCCCUAAACCAUUGUUACUGUGUAACUAACUUUUCAAUAAUUAGUUAGUUAGUUAGUUACAAUUAGUUGUAAGUUUGUUAGGAUUAGUAAGUGUGAUCAGAUAUCUCAACUACUAUAAAGAGGAGAUCUACAAUGUAACUAUGCAAGAUUGAAUAACAAAAUAUUCUUCUGUCUAUUCUUCUUCUUCCUCUUCCUCUUCCUCACUGUUCAUAAAACUUCAUGGUAUCAGAGCUUUAUCAACUAGUAUUCCUAGUUGAAUGGUUCAAUCAACAAUUCCGCUAAGAUUGAUCGAUCGUAAUUGUGCAAAGAAACGCAGUGAUCAAUGGUACAAAUGCUACAACCGUGUUUGGCCCAAAUGCAGAAGUAGAUUCAGGAACAGGAACUGGAAAUCCAGAUUCAACAAUUGAUUACAAUCAUCCCUUGUUUCUUCACUCGUCUAAUGUAAGUGGAAAUCAAAUCAUUUCUUUUCAAUUAACUGGUACUGAGAAUUAUUCUAUGUGGUAUAGGUCAAUGAAGGUAGCCUUGUUAGGAAGAAACAAAAUGGGGUUAGUGGAUGGAUCAUUUCCAAAGGAUAAAUUUCUAGGGCUUAGAAGGUAUUUGGGAAAGGGUAAAUGUUGUUGUAUUAUCAUGGAUUAUGAAUUAUGUAAAGAAAGGGCUUCUUGAAAGCAUCAUGUAUUCAACGUGUGCUAAAAAUGUCUGGGAGGAUCUGUAUGAAAGAUUUAACAAGAUAGAUGGAUCAAGAAACGUUAAUCUGCAUCAAGAGAUUGCCACUAUAACUCAAGGAACAAGUUAUGUGUCUGUUUACUUCUCCAGAUUGAAAGGGCUAUGGGAGGAAUUUGAGGUUGUGGUGCCUACCCCAUCUUGUGAAUGUGAAAGAUCCAAAGAGUAUGUAGUACAUCUGCAAAAACUCAAGUUGUUCCAAUUCCUUAUGGGGUUAAAUGACUCUUACUUACAAGCAAGGUCUCAAAUCAUGUUGAUAAACCCACUUCCCUCAGUAAAUCUGGCAUAUUCAAUGAUCUGAUGAGAGUAAAAAAUUAGUAGUAGCUGCAGUAGGCAUAUUAGGGUCUAAUCCAAGUUCUGGCCAACAAGCAUAUGAGUUAGCUGUGUACUCAAGAAAUAGCGUUACUCAAAAAUUCAAGAAGAAUGAGAAUUUGUAUUAUGAUUAUUGCAGGCUUAAGAAUCACACUAGAGAUAAGUGUUACAAGUUAAUAUGGUAUCUUCAAGAUUUUAGGUUCAAAAAGAAUGAGCCUAACACUGCAUAUAAUGCAAUGAUGAAAAGUAAAGGGUCUCAGAAAUAGGUUCCUACUGACUACAAGUCAUCCUACUCAAGUCACUACAAGUGAUUAUGGGCAAUCUUCAAAUGAAGAGAACAAUCAAUUAAAAGCUUGUCAUUUGUCAAAGAGUUAAUAUCAACAAUUGCUCCAUUUUCUGAACAAAGCUCCAGAACAAGUUCAUUCAGCUAAUGUAGUUGGUAAUGGUUCAGAUACAAAAACUUGUUUCAACUCUAAUACCAUUAGUAUUUCUACUCAUUGCUGGAUAUUGAUACAGGUGCUACUAACAACAUGGUGGCAGACCUAAGCUCUUUAGAUAAAUCCACUAUUUGCAAGUCUGAUAAGCUAAAGAAAGUACAUUUACCAAAUAGGGAUAUUUCCUUGGUUGAGUUUAUUGGCUCAAGUGUCCUUCCUAACAACGAUGUUGUCACUGGAGUUUUCCAAGUACCAUAGUUUAAAUUUAACUUGCUAUAUGUAUCUAAACUCACUAAGGAACUACAAUGUUCUGCUACUUUUUCCCUAACUUCUGUGUAUUAGGGAAGGUGAAAAUGAUUGGUAAAGAAGAUAGUGGCCUAUACAUACUAUCAAGCAAUACAAGUCUAAGAGAUGUCAAUAUUGCAGCUAGUUGUUCUGUUCCUUUACUAAGAAUAGAUUCUAAACUAGAUAUAGACUUGUGGCAUAAAAGACAUGGGCAUGGAUCUAGCUCAAUAUUAAAGAAAAUGUUGUCUUCAGAUUUAAGUAGUAUAACUGAAACAAUUAAUAAAUGCAUUGUUUGUCCUUGUGCUAAGCAAACAAAGACACCUUUCAUAGUUAGCAUAUCUAAAAGUUCUUCAUGCUUUGAAUUAGUUCACAUGGAUCUAUGGGGUCCUUAUAAAACCCUCACACGUGAUGGAAAUAAGUACAUCCUUACUAUUGUAGAUGACAUGUCUAGAUAUACAUGGAUAUUUUUGUUGAAACUAAAAUUUGAUAUUAGUACUAUUAUUCAACAAUUUCUAGUACAUGUUAAGACACAAUUUGAUAAAACUAUCAAGUGCAUAAGAUCAGACAAUGGUGCAAAAUUUGUGAAUAGUAGGUGCUCAAACAUGUUUACUUCUUUAGGUAUUGUACAUCAAACAACAUGUGCCUAUACUCCUCAGCAAAAUGGUGUUGUUGAAAGGAAGCAUAGACACGUUCUUGAGCUUAGAAGAGCAAUUAGGUUUCAAGGGAACAUACCUAUUCAAUUCUGGGUUUAUGUUUUCAAGUUGCUGUAUAUAUUAUAAACAGGUUUCCUAGUCAUGUUAUUAACAACAACACUCCUUUUGCAAAGCUAUUUAGAAAGCCACCCACAGUGUCACAUCUAAGAGUAAUAAGAUGUUUGUGUUUUGCUAAAAUUUUACAAGAAACUAAUAAGCUAAAAAAUAGGUCCAUAAUGGUUGUCCAUUUAGGCUAUGCAACUACUCAAAAAGGUUACUUGUUAUAUGAUCUAAAUUCUCAUGUUUUCUUUGUACACAGAGAUGUGGUAUUCAAUAAAGAUACAUUUCCAUUCAAAAUACAAAGUCAAUAGCAUACCUCUCUAUUCAAAUUCACUAGAUUAAAUGAUGAACAACCAGCUUCUGACAGCUAUCUCAGGUUCAUCUAAGGAGAUAGUUGCAGAAACCAACAUUCCUGCAUUAUAUCAAGAACAUGUGGUCUAUUGGUGAUACAAGAAGAAAAUAGAAGAUCUGUCAGGGGUAAAAGAUCACCACUAUGGAUGAAAGAUUUUGUGUCCCUUCAUGCUCAACAUACUCCAUAUUCUUUGGAUAAAUACCUGUCAUAUGACAAGGUAAAUCAUUCCUAUCAAACAUAUUUGUCUAAGAUUCCUGCCAAUACAGAACUUGUCACCUACAAAGAAGCUAUUAUGGAUCCUAAAUGGGUUGAGGCAAUGCAAUAUGAGAUUUAUGAACUACAAAAUAACUAUAUAUGGGAAGUAGUUACUCUUCCAAAGAGAAAUGUGCCUAUAGGUUGCAAAUGGAUCUAUAAGAUUAAAUACAAGAGCAUAUGUGAAAUAGAGAGGUAUAAGGCAAGACUAGUAGCAAAAGGUUACAACCAAAAAGAAGGUAUUGAUUAUAAGGAGACAUUCAGUCCAGUGGUGAUGAUGAAGACUGUGAGGACAGUACUAACUAUUGCAGCUCAAAGGAAUUGGCACAUUCAUCAGAUGGAUGUGUUCAAUGCUUUUCUACAAGGGGACUUACAUGAUGAGAUUUACAUGGACCUUCCUCGGGGAUUUAAGAGUCAGGGGGAGAAUAAAGUAUGUAGACUCACUAAAUCCCUCUAUGGGCUCAAACAAGCCCCAAGACAAUGGAAUACAAGACUCUUUCAGUCAUUACUGAAACUUGAGUUCAAACAAAGUGAAUAUGAUCACUCCUUAUUCAUCAAAAAGACAACAAAAGGCAUGGUAUUGGUUCUCAUCUAUGUGGAUGAUAUGUUGAUCACUGGAAGUAGUCCACUUCUUAUUGAAGAAACAAAUGAUCAGUUGAAACAAGCUCUCAAAAUAAAAGACUUGGGAGAGUUAAAGUACUUCUUAGGUAUUGAGUUUGCUAGAUCAAAGCAAUGUAUUCUAAUGCACCAAAGAAAGUAUGCACUAGAAUUAAUCUCUGAAACUGGUCUAAGUGCAGCUAAACCAGCUAGAACUCCAAUCGAUACCAACUCAAAAUUGACUAUCAGACGGUAUGAUGAAGAGACAUAUAUUGAAAAAUCUGAUCCUCUAACUGAUCAAGGAGCUUACCAAAGGAUAGUUGGCAAACUACUUUAUUUAACCAUGAAAAGACCUGACAUCUUCUAUGGGGUUCAAACAUUAAGUCAAUUCCUACAACAGCCUAAGAAGUCACAUAUGACUGCAACAUUAAGGAUUGUGAGAUAUGUCAAAAACCAACCAGGGCAAGGUCUACUACUCUCAACCUACUUAAAGAAUACUAUCACUGCUUAUUGUGAUGCAGAUUAGGCCUCUUGUCCUCUAACGAGAAGGUUAAUAACUGGUUACUUUGUGCAGUAUGGAGGGUCUCUAAUUUCAUGGAAGUCAAAGAAACAAACAAUUGUUUCUAGAAGCUCAGCUGAAGCUAAAUACAGGAGCAUUGCAACCACUGUAACAUAAAUUAUAUAGCUGAAAAGUUUAAUGGAGGAGCUUAGCAUUAAAGUUUCAUUACCUAUAAACAUACAUACUGAUAGCAAAGUUGCUAUGCAACUUGCAGCCAAUUCAGUCUGAGAGGACCAAACACAUUGAGAUUGAUUGUCAUUUUAUAAGAGAAAAAAUCACACAAGGGUUAGUAUAGCCAAGUACAUUCCUACACAAGAUCAACCAGCUGAUCUGUUCACUAAAGGAUUUACAAGAGUACAAUUGCAACAUCUUAGCUCCAAGCUAGGAGUUCUGAACAUCUUCUCACUUCCUAGCUUGAGGGGGAGUGUUGAGAAUGAGAAGACCAAAGAAGAAGCAAAUGUGUGAACCUGGUCCUUCGUAUAUGUUCCCUAAACCAUUGUUACUGUGUAACUAACUUUCCAAUCAUUAGUUAGUUAGUUAGUUAGUUACAAUUAGUUGUAAGUUUGUUAGGAUUAGUAAGUGUGAUCAGAUAUCUCAACUACUAUAAAGAGGAGAUCUAAGAUGUAACUAUACAAGAUUGAAUAACAAGAUAUUCUUCUCUUUAUUCUUCUUCUUCUUCUUCUUCUUCACUGUUCAUAAAACUUCAAAUAUCAACUAGUUAAAAGAAUUUAAGGACGUUGAAUCGAAUACAGAUGCAUUCACGAAUGAACAAACUUGUAUCAUUUAUCUCUUAUUAUACUGAAAAUGUCAAAUAUGCCCUUGAAUCAUAUGAAUUAAACAAAAGUGUAUUUCAUUAAUAGUUUGGUCCAAAAAUGUCUUUGUUGUUAUUAUAUAGUUAGUCCAAAAAUAUCUCUAUCGUUAACAGUAUGGACCAAAUAUGCCCUUAUCACAAAUAGUUUGGCCCAACAAUAGGGACAUUUUUGGAUUAGCUACUAAUGUGCAUUUUUAUUUAAUUUCACAUAGAUCUAGUAAAAGAAAUUUUAAUCCUUUUCCGCUUAUUAUAGUUUUAAAAAAAAAUAACAAACACUCAGCACGCAGGCCCCUCUAAUAUUAUUGGACUGGCCAGUUCUGUUUUUAGUAAUGUACUAAAUAUUCUUAGUGUUGAUUUAUGGGUGCUAGUUAAAUAUGUUCAGAAUAAUCCAAGAAAUGGUGACAAAGAGAUUAGUCAUCCAAAACCAACGUGAUAUAUAGUGGAGGCUUUGAAGGGAGAAAAAGAAAGAGCACACUAUGAAAUCAACAAAAGUUGCAAAUGUAAUCGAAUUAAUGAUUAUGUAGUAAUUUUCAUGUAAUCAUUAAACUAAACACAAUAUCUCAAAUCAUUAUAAAUUUCAGGACGGAAGAUCCAAAAUUCUUUUUGUAUACCUUUAAUAUUGAUUUGAAAUAAUACUAUUUUUGGACACUUCCCCUUUGGAUUUUCCUUAUAUAUUUGGAUAAUAUUUCUUGAUUUCUUACUUGACCAAACUUGCCACCUUUGCUAACUCUCUUAUAAGUCUUUGAAUUUUCUGAUCAAACCGAUAUAUCUAGCUAUGGUCAAAUCCAGUUUUAUGCUAAGCUCAAUUUUAGUCCUUGUACUACUAAUGUUUUUUUCACAAGUAAGUUUUUCCGUUGCCAGAGCAUCUACAAGUUAUCGUGGAGUUGAGAACAUGAGGAAAAAGAUAGAUAGCAAACAAAUAUUAAGAGAAUUAUUAGUGAAUGAUUUGGGAAAGAAAAUGAAGCAAAAUUAUAGAAGGGUAAUGAUGAAUAAAGAUAGAGUUGCACCUGGAGGACCAGAUCCUCAACAUCAUUAUUAGCAGGCAACCUCAUGCACUACAACAAAAGACGUUUAGCGGUAAUUGGGUUGAUGUUAUUAUAUUGAGAGUCACUAAAAUUUUUAGUAACAUUUAUAUUGAGUGUUGGUUAUAAAUACUCAUAUUUGAUUAUUGCCGCUAAAUUUUUUAUUUGUUGUAGUUAUGUAGUAAAUUUUCAUCAAUAUAUGAAUGAAAAUAUAUAAUUUUCUCUAUGCUUGAUUUGGAAAAUGUAACUCUUUUUCCUAAAAUCUUUUUCUUUUGUAGUAUAUAUAUACUCUUAAAUUGACUGCUAUUUUCGUAUUAGCUUGUGACAAUAUUAGACAUGCAUGCAGAGGCUAUUCAUCUGUCUGAUUAAUUAAAAAAUGGUACGAUCGAAUAGAGGUAUUUUAGAGCUUUUCGUUAUAAUGCAAUUAACAAAUCUAGUGUGUUAGGGUCUAGGUCGUUACUUAACGAUGAACUUAAUUGGAAGAACAAUAUACUAAUAUAUUAAUGUGUGUAUAUAUAUAAAUAAAAGUUCUAGGCUUGACAAGUCUUGAGUGCAUGAAAAAAAAAAUCUCUGAUAUCAAUAGCGUAUGAUUAUAUUUAUAUCCUUUUAUUGUUCCAGUAAUUAAUGGCCAUAUUGCAUAUGGUAUUGUCCAUACGAAUCAAUAAAUGGGUGGGUUAUUGACCCGUCCAAAAGUUACUUGUUAAAAUGGGCUAAUAUGCAGAUUAUAACUCUCAACCUUCCCAUUUUUUACUAAUACUAUUUUUCCCUUUUAUUAUGACUAUAUAUAACAUAUCCAAUUAAAAAACAUUUUAAUAAGAUUUCUCAUAUAUCAAUUUGAGCUACAUAUUAACUUAUUUUUUGAUGGGCUGAAAUAGAUUGGAAAUGGACUAAACAUUUGGGAAAAUAUGCAGAAUAGCAAACAUUUAGCCUAUAUUAGGUACUAUAACUAUAGUUUAAGAAAAUUGUAGUUCGCGACUACAGUUUUCCCAAUUCUUGAUAUUCGCCCGUUUUGUAUUAAUCCUAUAAUUCGGUUCCUGAUUAUAUAAAUCCAGAAUUUUGCAUAUGCUUAUCUUAACUAUUUGUAUACAAUUUAUGAAAAAAUCAUAAUAAAUUACCCUGUUUAUAUAUUGUGGCAAGCAAAAUACAAAUAGAGUUCUGGAAAAUUUCUAAAUGUAUAAAUACAGAAUUUGUAUAUACUUACUCUAUUUGUAUAUUCGCAAGCGAAAUAUACAAACGGGCAGAAAUAUAUGAAGCACAACCUCCAAAGCAAACAGAACUAUAGCUAUGAAGCGCAAUUAUCAAAACUAUAGCUAUAAAGUCUUAUUAUGUCUAUUAUAUUUGCUAUUUCUAAAAUUUUCUAACCUAAUAAAUGAGGGUUAAACAACCUAAACUUCCAACUAUAUAUGUUAAAACACAUUCAUUUGAGCUAGGAUUUACCACGAGAAAUUACUUGAACAUUGAUAUCUUCAAGUCAAUAAACAAUACACGGUCUUUUUGUUCUCAAAAUAGGAUAAAAUCUAUUCCACAAUAUAUAUUAUUGACUAAGAAAAAGGAAAGGGAGGAAGGGUUUUUAGUUUUUAAGUCAACACUAUAUUCCUUCAAAAGACUUGAGGGGAUCAUUUGGAUCCACUUCAUUAAUUUGUGGGAGAUCAACUGGAAGAGUUUCCAAACUCAGUCCGUUCUUUUUAAGAGCCUCGAUCACUUCCUCAAACACAAUUUUGUUGCCAGUUCGACUCAGGUGCAAACCGUCGCUGUAACAUCAAAAAUGGAUUUAACUUAUAUACGCUGACAGAUCAUGAUUAAUGAAAUUUGUAAACCUGGAAAUAAAGCAAGUUAGAAGCUGCAGCAUGUAAAUAUUCUCUACAUUGUAUUGUCAGUGUAUUCAACUAAAAUCAUUUAAAACCAGUAUGCAAAAAGAGAUGGAGCAAAACAGAAUCCUAGGAUUAAACAGAGUUUACAGUAUAUUCUAAACAUGUCAUUUGGCAUCGAUCACACUUAACCUUUAUAAACUGAAUUUUUAAAUUAUGAAAACCAACAAGAAAAUAACUGUGAUCAAGUAGCAACUAUGUACUACAUUUGCUCCAGCAAUUAUAUAUGAUUGUAAUUCGAAUCUACAUAUGUGUAAACAAUGCUUGCCGAUAUGUAGAAUUGAAAUACAACAUUACAAGAAUUGAAGUUUUACGAUAGGGAAACAACUUAGAUGAUCAGAAUAAUAUGUAACAUUUCUGGGCAUGCAGAGGGCAGCCAACUAAAUGAAUCACAACGAAAUAAAAUCAUAAAAGAAAUCUUUUCUUGUAGAGAGGAGGGGAUCAGAACAAGCUGUUUGCCAGCCAGGGAUUUGUUGCAUUCUGGUCCAGAGAUCGAUAGCGGAGACCCCACAUUCAGCAGCAACAGCUAGACAUGCCUUGGCGUAGUUUCCAGCAGCUUCAUUUGUCCUCUCUGGCAGUCCCAGCUUGUUCUCUGCAAAAGGAUAUCUACAUAUGUUUGAAUUAAAAAUCAGUACUGUUUCAAGAAGAGUAAAAAUAAUAAUAUUGACGUCAUGUUGUUCUAGUCAAAGAAUCAUGAAACGUAUAUAUGGAAAGAUUACAGGAGUCGCGAAGGUUCAUCAAUUGGAGGAGGUGAAAUGAGGAUAACUUCAGUUGUUGGCCAUCUCCCCUACAAAUAGGCAUAGCAAAGUGAAUCAUCAACAUGAGUACUAACUCCAGAAUGGCUAUUAAAUUACAAGAUAAAAUUUAAGCGUUCUAUGGGUGAUAGCAAACACCGAUAAUUGUAUGUUUAUACUUUGAUUUCUACCACGGGGUUAUAGUCAUUGACUACUUAUAUAAUGACAAACUACUUCCCUCCAUCAAAAAAGUUCAUCAAAAGUACAGGCAGAUUUCCUUUGAACUUGAUGGAUGCAAAGUUAGAUAUUUAUAAAAAUUUUAGAAUGUUACAUAUAUAUAUAUACACACACAUAUCUAUCAUACAGUAUAGGCCAAAUAUGCGACGUUCAUCAAUUGAAUUCCAUAUUCAGAAUUAUAGGUCUGCUCCGGUCCAAAACCCAGACUCAAAUAUUAAGUGUGCAGUUCACUAUAGUAGCUUUCAUAAAUUAAAGGUCUGGGCUACUGACUACAUGUUACUAGGUUUACACAGGGCCGGAGCUACUGUGGAGUCAGGGUGUCCAGCUCGUCGGAAAAUUACACUAUAUAGGUCAAAAUCAAAUCUUACUUUAUAUUGUAUUUUAAACACCUAUAGAACUAAUGGAGAGUUGUAGCACGGUAUGCUCAAAACUUGCAUGGUACCUAGGUUCAAAUCCUUAUAGAGUUGAUCAACAAGUAUGCAGUAUACAAACAAGAUCAAAGGUAUGAAGUGUCAUCUUCAAUAUUAUAUUGUCGUGCUAGUAAGGAGGACAUAUAGUGAAUAAUGAUUCAUCAAGUUGACUUGUUGGAAUUAUGACCUCCGUAAUUCAACUAAGGACCACGUAUGAACUAUAUGUUCCUUAAUUGUUUCGCAGCUUGAUGUUGAUAUGAUGCAAAUUGAUAACACAACAGUUUUCAAUUGUACUUUUAUUGAACCACUUCAAAAAGAUUACAAAACCUAUGUAGUCCAAGGAAUUAUAAACUCUAAUUCCUAACCCCAAGACACAAACCUCCCAAGGUUUAAGUCUUCUAAAGUCUACAAGUUGCACCAACCUACGCUCAGAACUCAAUUGUAACUAAAACAAUUAAUUACAACUUCAGAUGAAUUUCACUCUCUCAGCCUAAUCUACGCAGCACUUUAAGAUGAAUAUAAAAACUCUCUCAGCCUCUGAUCGUGUUUUCUUCUUUGCAAGUGCGCAACUUUCUUUGAGCAAGCCCUUCUCCUUUUAUAGACAAAAAGGUUUUUCGUUCGUUGACUCCAACUUGAUAAACUUUUAGUGAUUUUGUCUCCUUGUAUGACUCAGACAACCCUUUACUUGUGCGACUUGAAUUCCUAGCAGUUUUAUUUUUAUUCACCACCUCAACUUUAUUUGUUUCCUUGUUCCAGUUGGAUUUGGUCUACUGAGAUCAUGUUUGUGGAACUUGUUCUUUGCAACUGUCAUUCUUCAAAAUAUCUAUUCUAAUCCAACAAAUUCCCCCUUUUUGAUAAUGACAAAUUCGUGUGUGCAUUCUAUCCUGCUAAGAGAUUCAUUACACAAACAUAAAGCUCGAAGAUGUCAUAAGAGAGACUCGGAAACGAUUAUACACAAAGCAACAAUAUUCCCCCUUUUGGCAUCACAAAAACAAAUUUAUAAGCACAAAACAAAUUAUAAACCAAAGGCAAUGGCGAACAUGUAUCAGACUUUACACAAAAGUACUUGAACAACCAUAACAACAUAAAAAUCACGGAAAUGAAAUAAUAACAAAAAUCAAAUGCCUACACAAGAGUUCACAGUUUGUAGGCAUUUGAUUUCUGUUAUUGUUUCCUUUCCUUGAUUUUUGUGCUUAUGAUUUUAUGGUUGUUCCAGUAAUUCUGUGUAAAGUCUGAUGCAUGUUUGCCAUUGGCCUUUGGUAUUAUAAUUGGUUUUGUGCUUAUAAAUUUGUUUUUGUGAUGCCAAAAUGGGGAAUAUUGUGCUUUGUGCAUAAUCAUUUCCUAGUCUCUCUUAUAACAUUUUCGAGUUCUAUGUUUGUGUAAAGAAUCACUUAGCAUGAUAGAAUGCACACACGGAUUUGUCAUCAUCAAAAAAGGGGAAUUUGUUGAAUGAGAAUACAUAUUUUGAAGAAUGACAGUUGCAAAGAACAAGUUCCACAAACAUGAUCUCAGUAGACCAAAUCCAACUGGAACUAGGAAACAAAUAAAGUUGAGAAUGUGAAUAAAAAUAAACUGCUAGGAAUUCAAAUCGCACAAGGAAAGGGUUGUCCGAGUCAUACAAUGAGAAAAAAUCACUAAAAGUUUAUCAUGUUGGAGUCAACGAAGGAAAAACUUUUUUGUCUAUAAAAGGAGAAGGGCUUGCUCAAAGAAAGUCGCGCACUUACAAAGAGAGAAAGAAGAAAACACGAUCAGACUGAGAGAGUUUUUAUAUCAACAUCGAACUACGAAACAAUUACGGAACAAAUAGCUCAUACGUGUUCCUUAGUUGACUGGUCCAUGAAUUGGAAUUAUUUGUGAGCAAAAUCUUUCUUGGAUCGAUGAAAAAGAAGAAAAGCACAGCUCAGAAUUGCGUUAUGACGUCUAGGCAAAAAGCAAAUCAGCUUAUAUAUUUAUUUAAACCAAGAAUUGCAUGAAAAUGACCGGGCACUCCAUGCAUAGCAUAAAGAAGCAGCAAAUUUACUUAAAAUUAUUAGACAAGUGGGGAGCAACAAAAGCAACUACUGGGCCUUCUAUUUGAACACUUUUAGUUGGAACUGCUUCAUGCUUAUUAUACUGAUCAAUAUAUAAGCAAAAGAGAGGCUCGUGCUUUUACAUUGAGAACUACAUACACUAAGGAUCCAUCAAGCCCCACUUUAAAUUUUUUUCCUUCCUUUCCUUUUCAAGUCUUGUAGGCCUCAUUUGGCAUAAUUAAUCCCUACAUAUUCGUGCAAAAUAAUACUAUAGAGUUUGAUAUAACACAUUUAAACCCCACCACAUUAUGGUGGUGUCUAGGCCAGCUUGAACACAACUCAACUAAUUUCCUGAGAUACCUACUAUAUACUUUCCAUCAGUACAAAUGUCAGAUAAGUCUAUCCACUAAAGUGUGGACAGGUGGGAAGAAAGCAUCUAAUGGUUUUUUUCCUUGCUAGAAUUCAAACACGAGACCUCACGAUUCUCAACCUACUUUAUUGACGACUAGGCCAAACAUUUUGUAUAGAAAUAAAUUUUUUAAUACAAAUACUACUGAGUUUGAGGAAAGCUAGAAUCCAUAGAUAGUACUGUGGCUCUGACUCUGAUAUAACAUGUUGUUUGGACUAUACUUUUAUUUCAUGUACCUUUUAAAAAUGCUGAAGGGUCAGCUUACUACACAGUCGACCACAUGUAUGAGUAAUUCGUCCCUUCCAGGACGGAGGGGUAAAUUUUUAACAUUUUAUAUCAUCUAUCUCAUAGUCUUCAUGACAUAAGAAAUCUAGAAUUUCUAGAGAUCUUAAAGUGAUGAACUAUUAACUAAGCUUAAGAAACAACACUACAAUCACAUAAUGUAAGAAAGAAGCAUAAAUAAUGAGAAACUGUCGAUAAUUUUGAAAUUUUUUACUACGAUUAAUAUUCCCUUUUUAAAAUCUAUAUGAGAAUUUUUCCUUAUCUAGAUUCAAUUUUACUAAUUUUCAAAACUAAACUGGAAUUAUAUCAACUCAAUAUUAAAUUAUAAAAUUUUAAUAUUAAAAUAUAUAUAUAUAAAACAAUUAUAUGUCCCAAUUCUUUUCAUGUCAAUUUUGUAAAAGAAAUAUUUUUAAAAUGUUAAUUAAAUUUUUCAUGAUUUGAAUUUCAAAAAGCAAAAAGUAUCAUAUAGAUUGAAAUGAAAGAAGGUAAUAUAAAUAUUUGACAGAUUGACUGUUAGGGAAUGUGAGGACGUAACAAUGUCAAAUGCAAAUACCCUAAGAUUGACCAUAAUAUAUACGGUCGAUAAUGUCACUAUAUGUCCAAAUUAUUAUUUUUUGAUCGAUAUAAAAAUAAAUUAUAAUAUAGUUGCAAAAAGUAAGUUUUACAUUUUAUUCUCUUUAUUUCUUCACAAUUUUUUCUUUUUAUUUCUCAUAUUUUUAAAUUAAUGGACAAAAGAAAAAAAAAAUAAAAAAUUCAAAUAACAAUAAGUAAAUAGAUCUAAAUUUAAAUUAGCUGUUGAAUUCAUGGUCAAAAAGGAAACUGUAUUUUCUUCAUUUGUUUCUAAUAAAAUAUUCUAUUACUAUAAUUAUUCUAUAUUUCAUUUGUUUUUCUAAUGAAAAUUUCGUAAGCGAUGGUAAACGAAGGCAAUCAUACUACACACAAAAUCAAGAAGACAAUAUUUUAAAAAGAAAAAAAUAUAAGUAUCAUAUAUUAUUUUAACAAUAGAAGCAUUUGAUUGGGCUACCAAACAAAAUUAAAAAAACAAUCCACGCAUGUGAUCCAGCACAAUUACAGCUGCUUAUUUACCAGAAAAAUAGUGAAAAUCGUCAACAAACUCAUCAAAUUUCAAAAACUGCAAAUCCCAACGUCUAAUACUCAUUUGAUGGAUUUAUGAGAUUUGCACGUGUGGGGGGAGAAAUACGAAUUAUUCUCUCCGUCCAACAAUACUUGUUCAAUUUAUGAAAUUAAUGACUAAUUUUACACUUAAUUUCUAAUUUAUUUUUAUUAUUAAUUAUAGUUAACAAUGUAUUUAUUAUAUUGAAAGGAUGAUUUCUUAAAAUAUAUGCAAAGUUAAUAGUGAACGAGUAUUGUUGGACAGAAUGAGUAUAAAAUAGAAAAUCAAAUUCUUACAUUAGAAGCUCAUAGAGUCAAUCAAGUGAAAUACUACUAAAGGACUAUGAAAUUUUUUCACUUUUUGGUGUUACUUGGGAAACGUGUUUAAAAUAAAAAAUUUAUAAAUUAUUUUGUAACUUUAUUUUUCCGCAUGAAUAAAAUGCCUAAUAAAAAAGAAAAAGGAAAGGAAAGGUACCUACCUUAAGGAAGGCGAGAAUGGAGUGAAGAUUGUGCUUGAACUCCUCAAGAGGAACGUGUUGAAAAGCAGAGCAUCUAUCAGCAAGAGACGCAUCGUUCGCUCCAAAGAAAACGGUCACCGCCAAUGGCGAUUCCGAUUCGGAUUUCUCAGUCGCCGGAAAAACUUUCUCCAACACCUUCAAUGCCCAUCUUGUGUUAUACCCACUAUACCCUCUUAACACCACAUCCGCCUAAACAAAAAAAGAAAAAAAAUCAUCAACAGAAAAAGGAAAAAGAAAAAAAAAGAAUAUUAAAUUAAACAGAAGAGGUGUUGAAGAAUAUAUAUAUACGGUGCGAUUGAAGUGUUUGGCAAGAGAAGCACCCCAUCCACCUUCAUCAAAUGACAUUUCAGUGAUGGAAUCUCCAAACAGAUAAAUCUUUGGUCUCAUUUUUUCUGAUAUGAGAAUGAAGUGAAAAGGAGAGGAGAAACAGAAGGAAGAUUUUAGCUUUUAGGGCUAUAUGGAAGAGUGAUGAUUGUAGAUAGAAGGAGAAAGAUGCAGUAGUUGCUGUACUUUAAAAGCUCUUUUCCCUUUUUACAUAAAAGAAAAAAAGACUUCUACUAAUGUUUUCUUUAAUAAAUGCUCUUUUAUCUCAAUCUAUGAAAUGCAUUUAAUUUUUAUUUCUUUUUUAAAGGUCAAGGUCAGAAAUGCAUUUAAUACAGUAUGAAGUUUGAAGAAAAAUGGAAGGGAAACUUACCGCAUUCACACUAGAUGAGAACUUAGAUAUACAUAAAUCUUAUCAGAUUUUGGUAUCCAUAUACAUGUAUCUCGAGAUACAUGAUGUUAAAAUUAGGUAUAAUUCAUUCUACUUACAUUAUAUUCAAGUGAAUUCGCAUGUAUUUUGAAUAUGUCUCCCUCCCAUCUCGAUCACCACUCUCUUGUGUAUAUGAUAUCUCAUAUACAUGUGAAAUACACCAUAUACAUACAGAUACAUGUAUUUAGUGUGUAUCUAAGUGAUUCGCAUGUAUAUGAGAUACAUGCUUAUAUCGCUCACCUCCCUUCACAUCUUGCUUAGUGUAUCUGGUAGCAAAAAUACUUUUGUUUGAAGCUUUGCCAAAUCGGCUACAAAUUAAAUAACUUUAAAAAGUGAAUAUGAUUAAAAACUGGCUAAGCAUUUCUUUUUUGAAAAAAAUUUACCUCCCACCUUUGCUUCAUUGGUGAUUUCGAAUAAUGUUUACCACAGAAGCAACUCCCUUAUUUUAGUGUAGAUUUCUUGUGUAGUACUAUAUUGAACAUUCGAUUUGAACUCUUCUCAUCGAAUUAGGCCCAAUGUAGCCAGCAAGUAGCAAGGGCAUUUUCCAUACAAGCCCAUUUUCUGCUGCUACAUGGUGGCUAGUUUAAAGUAUAGAAAGCCCAAUAAUUUGGGCAUUAAUUAUAGAGGAACUUUCGCAAAUAGCUACUAUAAUAAACUUAAUUAUGCUCCAUAACUUUAGUUUGUAUAUUUAUGGGUUGUAGCUAUAAUUUAAGAUAUCUCGUUUGUAUAAUUCGCGGGUACAUUUGUAUAAUUCAGUUAUUUUUGUAUAAACUCGAAAUAGCAAAUUUAUACAAUUACAAACAUCAGAAGUGCAAACAGUUAUACAAAUUACGAAAUAUAAAAGUUACACAAAUUAUAUUAUACAAAAUUUGAAUUAUAUAAACGUGCGAAUUAUACAAAACUAAAAAGUUGAGCUGCGUAAUUAUAGCUAAAAGUAGGCCGCGAACUGUAAUUAAGGCAAACUAUAGCUAUGUUAAGUAAUUAACUAUUAUAUGUUUGCUUAUAUGCGUAAUUUUCUUGUAGUGUACCCUAAAUUUCUUGUAAAUUACAAUAAUUUCAAUUUUUUUAGAAUUCAUGGAUAUAUUGCUCUUUCACAUUUAGUAAAUGAUACAUAAGUUAUAUAUCAAAAAUAUAAGUUAUGUAUCAGAUAGGGUUGUGCAUGAAAUACCGAAUCGAAACAAACAUUUUUGUGUUAUUUGAUAAUUGAGUAUUUGGUAUGGUAUUCGAAACAAAUGAAAUACCGCAAUUUAAUUUACCAAUUAUCGAAUUACCAAAUCAAAAUUUAAAAUUUUGGUAUUUGAUAUUUACUUUAACGACCAACUAUCAAAUUACCGAACCCGAAAUUUGAUAAUCCCGAACCGAAUAUUGAAUGUCCACCUCUAGUAUCAAAUACAUAGCUAUAAAUCAGAUUCACACUGAUUUAUGAAAUGAUUGGAGUUAUGUAUCAACAAUAACAUUUGUACCAGAUCCAUUAUAUACAAACAAAGUUGUAAUGUAUCUGAUACAGGUAGAGUGAUGUAUCCAGCUGUUAAAAGAGAGAAGGAAAAAGGGAUUUUGAUAAUUAAUUCAAAUGAUAGAUAUUUUUUGAAAUUAUGUUAUCUUAAAUCAUGUAAUAACUUAUUUUUUCCUAGCUUUUCUUGGGGCGAAAAUUCCAUAAGUAGCCUUAUUAGCACCCAUUUUACAGUCUUCUAGUUAUUCUUCCCCUUUUUACCUUUCUACUUUCUGAUUUUCUCUCCUUCCCUAACCAAUCAUUAGAAAAUCUAUCAGAGUAUACUACUAUAAAAAUAAUUUUUAUCAACUUUAAUAUACAUUAAUAAAGAGUGUUAAAAUAUUUAUCCUAUUAGUUAAUUAUCGUUGGAUUCAAUAUCGCUAUAGGCUUUAGGAAUAUUUGCAAAAAGUAAUAAUUACCGCUAAAAAUACAUAUUUAACGAUAAUUAAGCUAUUGUUAUUAAUUAUCGUCGCUAAAAAUCAUUUUGAUGGAGCGAUAAUUCUUUAUGCCCACGUACUAUAACACGCAUAAUUAUCCCCCUAAAAUUUAUAACUAAGAACUUGAGUUGGCUAUAUGACUUAGCAAAGAUAUUAGGUGGAUAUUUUGGUUGUUGCUAGGCAGCUCUAAACAAUCACAUGUGAAAUGGAGAGAAGAGUUUCUUUAAUAAAUAUAAUUCCUUUAAUUAUUGUUUCAAAACACAAGGAAGUAGACAAUUAUGCAUUUGUUAGCUGUGAGGUCAUACCAAAUAUAGUUGGGGAUUUAAUAUUAAUACUAAGAUGAUACCCGCAAGAGUGGAUUGAGUUGAUUGUGUGAGUGAUUUCUCUAAUGAGAUCUGGAAUCCAUUUUCCUCAUCAAUAACUUUCUUAGACAUAACUCAUCGUGUCAAAUUUAUCUUUUAUGAUUUAUAUUUUUAUGUGAUUUGCAAGCUAUUCCAUAAAAGUAAGUGUAUCAGUUAAAAGAUUAGCAACUACAAAUUUUACUGGAAAUUUCAAAAAGAAAAAGAAAACAUUAAAACAAUAAAAAGAUUUCAACCCGAUCAUAUGGUAAUUAUUAUUGAAUCUGACCACUUGAGCUUUUGCACAUUCUACCUUUGGUUAUUGAAGAAAACCUUAAAGAGGAUAUUAUCUCACUCGAUUGGAUAGAAUAAUGAGGAAGUUACAUAUUUGACGCUAAUAAAAAUAUUUAAAUUUAACAGAUCAACUUAUUUUAAUACUUAAACUAUAUGAACGUUUAAAUAUCCUUUAACUUGGCAGGAAAUUUAAAUACACAGACUUAAAUUCACUUGAAAAAUAUUAAAAGGGGUAUUUCUGCUAUUAUUUUAGUGAACAGACAUAUAGUAUAAAAAAUUCUACAAGACAUCAAAUCCUAUCCCGUGGGCCAUGAUAGUUUUAUAUUAAAGUUCUUUUUUUUAAUUAGAAAAAUUUGAACAUUCAACUUGAAAUCUUAAAACUAAAUAAAUACUCACUCCGUUUCACAAAGAAUGAUCUAGUAUGACUUGACACAGAGUUUAAGAAAUUAAAGAAGAUUUUUUAAUCUUGUGGUCCUAAAUUAAAGUUAUGUUAAAUGUACAAAAUUGCCCUUUAAUCUUGUGGCCUUAAACAUGCCACAUGAAAAGUUGAAUUAAAAUGUUACAAAAAAAAAAAAAAAUCAUUCUUUUUUAAACAAAUUAAAAAGGAAAGGAAAUCAUUCUUUUUUAAACGACUUAAAAGGUGAAGUGACCCAAACCAUCAUAAAUUCCUUCGGAAAUUGUUAUACAAGUAAUUAUGAUGACAAGUGUAUUACUACCUAACAAGACGUACCAUAAUUGAACAACAAUAUUAUUUUUUUAUAAAAAAUAUAAUCAUAAUGAGCUACUCUUUUAAUUCUUUCGUUAAUUUUAAAAAAUAAUAAUAUAUAUAUAUAUCAUUGCUCAUGUCAGCAGUUAUCCAUUACAAGCUGUUCAUUUCUGAAGUUGUUGAGACACACCAAAUAGAUUCUUAAUUUUAAAGUGCAUUGACUUUGACUUUGGAUUGUUUUGUGCAUGCAAGUGGGGAUACACAAAGUCCAAUAAUUUACUCCAAUUGGGAUUCUUAAACAAGGGGAAGAAAUCAUACAUUUGGUUGGCUAUUACCAAUCACAUUCUGUCUUGAACUAAAAAUGUCAAGAAAUCUCUAAUAUAUAAAUGUGCUUUAAUUUCUUUUUUACGUAUCACAAAGUCUAAGUUUUUUCCCCCCUCUUUACUAUAAGCUCAACUCAUAAUAAUUAACAAUAUGGAUAACAAAGAAGACAAAUCAGAAAUUUCGCGAUCAUCCAUUGAAGAAGUUGAUGAACAUAAAGCAACAAAGUCGGAAGAAAUUAAUAAUGAUCAAGUGAUCGUUGAUCUACCAAAGAUUGUAACAAUCGAAAGUGAUGCACAUACAAAUGCAGAGCAAGUUAAAGACGAAGAAAAAAAUAAUAAUGAUCAAGUAAUUAUUGAUCCACCAAAGAUUGUAACAAUUGAAAGUGAGGCGAAUAUAGAUGCAGAGCAAGUUAAAGACGAAGAAGAAAAUAAUAGUAAUCCAGCUGAGAAUGAACAAGUUGAAAAAGAUAGAAUGGAAAGUUCAGAAUUAGUAAAGAUAAAUCAAAUUGAAAAAGAGACGAAAUGCCGGCCAAUAGCAUUUCUUUUGGGACUUCCAUUUGCCUUAAUCUCUCUAGUCAUCGCUUUUAUUGGAGGAAUUAUCUGGAUUAUCGGGUUUGUCUUUCUAUAAUCUAUUUUUAUUUUGCCACUUGUUUUAUAUGUGCAGUAACAGAUAGUUUAUCUUUUGAAUUUUGGCGACUUAAUAGUUAAAACUCAUUGAAAAAGAUCGGUCAAAACUCCUAGCUCCUAGAAGUGUCUAACUACCGGCCGAGGCGGAUCUAGAGUACACGAGUUUUCGAGAAUCCAAUAUCUUCGUACAAAACUCUACAUUUAUAUUGAGAAAUUUAUUAAAUAUAUAAUAAAUAUCUAUUGGGAAUCUAAUAACAAAGCAGUCACUUGGUCCAACGUUGGUGAAGGAACCCACUUAAGCUUAGUUGGCCUUCUAUAUGAUGGUUUGAUUCCGCUUGGGCACAUAUAAAGAAGUUUUCUUUUUGUAAUUUGAGUUUAUUGAGAAUUCAUAAACUUCAAAUUUUGAAUUCGCCUCAACUUAAUGAAAAAAUCAUAGAAUGAUUUUAUGUAUUUACUUUUGUUUUUCUUAUUAAACACAUGGACAGAAGUCACGACUAUUAAUUAGUGUAAGAUUAAUUUGUGGGAAAAUUUCUAUCGUGGCCAUCCAAGUAAAGGUUUGUAUUUUUGCACAAAAAGUUGUGAACUGCUAAUCAAUUUAAGAGUGUUUAUUAGUCUGACUUAAUUCCAAAUAGCUUAAAUUUAAUUUAUUGUUACAGAAAGAUGUUGGGUUUUAAAGGUGUAAACAUGAAAUGAAGGUUGUGACUCUCCUGAAGGGUUGUGACUUUUUCGAAGGGUUGUGACUUUUUCGAAGGGUUGUGACCUCUAUGAAAGGUUGUAUCUUUUCUAAAGGGUUGUGACCGUUUGAAAGGUUGUACCUUUUCCAAAGGGUUGUGACCUUUCUGAAAGGUUGUCUUUUUUCCAAAGAGUUGUGACCUUACGCUUUGUUGGCUAUAAAUAGAGACUUCCCUUCUUUUGCAUACAUUUCUUACAAAACAAAAUCGAUCGAUCGUGUUUGUGUGUUGAUUCGUUGCUGUCUUUUUGAGUUCGUUGAAAUUAUUGAAGUUUGAGGUGCCGUUACUUCUUUAAUGGUUAAUCUGUUUUAUCUUGGGAGGAAUUAAUUUGCAACCUCGGAUACUUGAGGAGAUUAAAUUUCUUAAGGACGGGUUAUGUGGACUCGGAUAGUUCUUUGUUUUUCUUUUCAUCUUUUAUUAUUUCUGGUUUGUUAAUCUGAAUACAGGAGUCAACAAAAGCUAUAUUUAUUAUAUAUGAUGUUAAUUAAAUGUAAAAGUUAAUAAGAAUUUUGGUGAUGGUGCAGGUUGAUUUUGACUUGCAUAUGCCCCUGUUGCUUUUGUGUGACUGUGUUGGUAGAAAUGGCACUUGGUCUAGUGAAUGCUCCUUUUCAAUUCUUCCACUAUAUCACUGAUAAAAUACCUUUCUGAUCAAUUAAUUAAGACCCUUCCAUAUGGGAAACUUAGACUAAGAAGGGAGAUGAGAGGAAACAAACUCUUUUCUUUUCAAUUUGCAUAAACCCUUCUUUCCAACUCAUUUGCCCUUUUAACCAAAUACUAAUUGGGCUGGGAUCCCAAAUAAGACGCUCCAACAUUUUACUCGGCCCAAUAAUUCCAACUAAAUUAGUCUCCACAAAUUCCAGUCCAUAGGCCCUUACAUAUCCAACUCUAUUCACAACAGAUUAUUCUGCGAGAUAUCUUGCAUCGGCACUUGAGAAAUACAAUGAUGGUCAGUCCAAAGAUAUUAUAAUCGAACAAAUUAAAGAAGCCCAACACUAUAUCAAAGCUUGUCAAGAAUCACCUGAAGCAAAGAUUAUGCUCACUCAACAACUUGUUGAUCUUCAAUUAUUUGUCAACAAAAUUAAGGAACAAGUGAGGUAUAUAUAAUUGGGACCAACUUUCACCCGGCCCCAACAAAAAUCUAUACAUUCAAAUAUAAAAUAUUACAUCCACGUUGUAGUUAUACUUUUAUAUUAAACCCACAUAAUCUUUAUUAUUUUUCGCAUCAGUGCUUAUACAUAUGGUAUACUUGAGAAAAUUUUAUAAUUAACAUAUAAGACUAUUUAAUAUUACUAGCUUGUUAUGACAUUAUUUUUUAUAUAUAUUUCAAGUUUUAACAGUAAAGCACUUACCGAAUAUAACAUUUGUUAAAUAUAAAAAAAAUAAAAAUAAAAACAGAAAAUAGAGUAACAAUCAUAUAAAUAUAGUAAUAAUAAUAAAGAAUUGACAUAAAAUAUAAUUGAAAGUAUAUUUCUCUUCCUUAAUUAACUAAACACAGUUACUAUCAUUUUCUCUCACCUCGUUAAUUGUCUCUCAAAAUAGAUUUCGCUUUUUUUUUUUCUCAAUCGUUUCUAUCAAACAUUUUUUUUGGUUCGUCGCCUUUUGUAUGCUCAUGAAAGGUGAAAGUUUCUUAUCGAUAUUGAUAAAAUACGGUGGUAGAUGAGAUUGUUCAGGUUAAUGUUUUAUAUUAAUUAUUGUGGAUUGUUAGUGUGAUACUCCAAUUUGAAAAAAGAGGUAUAGUAUGUCGAAUGUAUUUUUGUACAGUCUAUACAUAAAAAUGUAUCAUAUCAAUUUCAUACAAAUUUAAGGUCAUCUUUAAACACAAAUUACAUCAAUAUGUCAUAUUUAUGCAAAAUUUAAUUUACAUUAACAAUAAAAAUCAGUAUACCAAAAUUAUACCAUUUUCAUGUCAACACAAAAAUCAGUGUCAAUACAUAAGUAUACCAAAUUCGUACCAAAAUCAUGCAAAUUUCAUAUCGUGGUAUGCAUAAAAGAUUAAAUGAAAUAAAAAUUGAAAACUUAAUAUACUAAAAGUACCUUCUCAAUAGGUUUGACUUUUUUAUACUUGGAAAUUUUUGAAUCCUAUUUCAAUGUUGAACUAGCUCUUUUUUUGAGGGUUUCAUAGACUCUCCCUGGUCAACACUUCUUUUUUUGACUGUGUUAUUGAAGUAUGUUCACCAUUAGGUAACUACACAUUUUUUCCUACACAAUUGUAUGCAGAACUCAACCUAGAGAGUUUAGAUGUGAUAUGACAUGUGGCUCCCGAAUCUACUAUCUACCUCUGUUCCUUUUGUGCUUUAUCAAUUGUUACAGAUAAAGCGAUAAAGCAUUGGGUGUAGAGGAUAUACCUGCCAAAUUAACCAUGCCAAUUGAACCUCAUGAGCUUGAAGCUGGUUCCUCCUUAUCCAUCAUGUGCCUGAACUGAUGAUACAAAUUUUGCUCCUGGAGCCUAGGUGCAAUAGCAUCAGCUGGAUCUGUCUCAUAACUUGCUUCAUGUCCUUUAUCAGUCACAUUGUUUGCCAUUUCUGGUUGAUUGCCUUGACUAGCUAUUGGUCCUGAUUUCUUCUUGAAUUUCCAAUCAGGAGGGUAUCCAAUUAAUCUGAAACAGUUCUCCUUAAUGUGACCUUGAAUCUUACUAUAGUCACAUAUUUUAUCCCAAUUUUUCUUCUUCACCUGCGAUUUCCUUUAAUAAUCGCUUCUUCCAGCAUACAAAGCAGUUGGCUCUAGAAUGCCCCCUACACUGUGUGUGCUUGCUGUCAUCCUUUGCCCUUCAUCAACCAUGAUCAUGGCAUAUGCCUUUCCAACACUAGGCAGUGGGUUCAUCAUUAAAAUCUGACUACGAGCAUGACCAAAGACCUCAUUCAACUCCAUCAGAAAAACAAAUAGCCUCAAACAUACUAGAUGAUCCACAUAGGUUCUAGACUUAUCACACUUACAUGAAGGUGGGGGAACUAGAGCAUCAAACUCAUCCCAUAGCAGUCUUAAUUUCGAGAAAUAAGCAGAGACAGUCGAAUUACCUUGGUGAAUUAUGCAUAUCUCCCUAUGCAAUUGAUAGCCUCUUGAUCCAUCAACCUUAUCAAAUCUCUCCUUAAGGUCUGCCCACACCAUAGCAGCAUCAGUAGCGUAAACUAUACCACUGGGUAAUUCAUUCAAUACGGUGUUCAUGAUCCAUGCCAACACAAAAGCGUUACAUUUUUCCCACUGUUCUUCCAAUUCUCCUUGAUAAUCACUCCUCUUGCAUGUUCCUAACACAAACCCCAGCUUACUCUUGGCUCGAAGGUUAAUCAACAUGGAUCUACUCCAUAGAGAGUAAUUCUCCGUCCCUGUGAGCUGCACGGUGGUAAGAACACUACCAGGAGUGUCUAAAGGUUAAUCAACAUGGAUCUGCUCCAUAGAGAGUAAUUCUCCGUCCCUGUGAGCUGUACAGUGGUAAGAACACUACCAGGAGUGUCUGAAUUGUGAAUGUAGAGUGAAUGGUUUCACUUUCGAUUGAUCUCUUCAAGAGUUACAAUCGUCCCUGUUUGCACAGUCGCUUCAACACCAUUGGAGAUACCUGUAGCACCCGUAACAUCAUCCAUCUUGUUGUUGCUUCAGUGAUCAACAAUUGAACAAUGAAUCAAUAAUUGAAUCGAGUCUCGAUUCAAUGCUCUGAUACCAUAUUGAAUCUUACGGAGAGAAUUGUGAGAAAGAAAAAGAAGGUUCUAUUACUCAAAAACUGAACUUUAUCAAUUACAAUGCAGGUAUUUAUAUAAGGCAUUCUAUACAUGUGCCUCACUGUCAUCUAACUAACUCUUCUAACUAAUCCUUUAACAGACUAAUUAAUUAAACUCCUAAUCCGUUAAUUAACAGAAUUGAUCAACUAACUGCUAUCUAACAUAAUUGAUUCAAUUAUCAAACCAAUUCCAAUAUAUAUGAGUAAUUUUUUAUUAUUAAUGAUAGUAUUCCAAAAUUUUAAUUAAAGAUAAUUUAGUGAAAUAUUUUUUAAUUUUUUUAAAAAAGUAUGCCUUAAACUAAAAACAUCAUCUCAUAUUAACCGAAGGGAGUAUUGCAGCAACAAAAAGAUCGUCAUAAAUGAACGUGUUCAAUGACAAAAUACAUUGCACUUAUAUUGUACACAACCAAUACAUUCAACAUUAUAAUUUGUAACAGAGAAAAGUGAUUUAUAAGCUCGGAUUAGAUAUAGUUUUAUCAUUAAAUACCGCACUUAUUAUUGAAACAGCCCAAUUAAUAUAGAUAUAACAUCUCAAAUUCAAUUAACCACUAAAAAAAUCAUAUAUAUAAACAUAAACUUCUUACAAUCUAUAUCUAACAAAGAGAAAAAAAGAAAAAGAAAAAAAAAGAGAAUCACAAAAUAAUGGCAGUAUCUCUAUUUGGUACAACUUCCAUGGUGACAUUCAUUUCACUAUUAAUUUUCUCAUUCAUUCCUAAAUUACCCUUGGCUAACGAUGAUAUCGUGUCCUCUCUUCAAUCGGUGAUAGGUGGUAUCGGAGGUAUAAAACAAUAUUUAGCAAUUGAGGAGGUCAUGUAUUGUGAAUUUAGAUUUGGCGAUGCCGAAAGUAAUCUUAAACUGGCAAUUACGAAUUACCAAAAUGGUCAAUUCAAAGAUGUUAUCAAACAAAUUGAUGAAGCCCUAAAAAGUAUCAAAAGUUGUCAAGAUACAUCUGAUGCACAGUCUUAUAUUGCCAGAAGUGUAGCACAAGAUAUGGAUAAUGUUGUAUUCCUUAUCAACAAAAUUAAGAAACAAGUAUUGGGAUCAGCUUUGAGCCCACAAAUAUAUCAUUGAUUCACUAAAUACGUAUUGGAAUAUGGAAAUGCUUGUACCAAAUAAGAUGGAUAAAUUUUAUAGGCGGAUAUAUUUUAAGUUUCGUAUGCAUGAAACUUUUAAGAUUUAUGAUUAAUAGCAUAUACUUUGUAAAGGAUCAUUUUAAUUAAUUUAUAUAAUCAUAAAAGAUCAAAGAUUCUACUCAAAUGUUGAUCAAUUUUGACCUUUUAAAAACAGAGGGACAUAAUUGUCAUUUUUAUUUUUCACAAUAUUAAUUAAGAGUUUUGAAACUAAUUAAAACUUUGAUUAGGACAAUACGUCUAAUUUUCGAGACAAUGACUAAAAUUUCAUAUGAUUGAACUUCAUAUGUUUAACAAGAUUUAUAGAAGUUUUGAUUAAAUUUGGAAAUUUUAGAAAUAGUUGUACUUUGAGCUCUAAUUACCAAACAACGAUAGUUUGACUAAUUACCAAAUGUAGUAGUAAUAGUUUACUUUUUUAAAAAUCACUAUAUAGUGUAUCUUAAAGGUAAAUAUAGGCUAUAGACGAUAAUAAAUAAAAAAGUAUCAAAAAAAGAUUAAUAAUUAAUCUGAAAAAAUUCAUUUAGGUAAGAAUUCCAUUAUCUUCCUAAUAAUUGCAUGCUUAUGGGCUGAGAUUGUUUGCUCCAAUGGUUUGAGUCCAAUUAGCAAGAUAUUGGAACUGUGUUUGGGCCUUGUACGGGCUGACCCACCGAGAAACAGUGUGAACCCUAUUUCAUUCGGGUGGUUAUUUAGCAAUUUUUUGUUGUAUAUAAUACCAAUUCCCAUCUCAUUUUAUAACUUUUUUUAAGUAUCUCAUACAUUUGGGGUAAAUUAAAAUCUAUUCCAGAAGUUUUACCAAUUACAAAAAUUUCAGAUUUUUCAUUGCUUUUGGAUGCAUUCCUUGAUUGUCUGAUACAUUGCAAAUGAUAUGUUAUCUAACGGAAGAAAUGUAUACGAGAAAGGAUAGAGAUGUAUCCGAGAGGGAAUUUUUUGUAAUUUUUUAAAUGACAGGGAAUAUAAAACGUAGAAACUAGAAAGUAUGAAAAAAAAAGUUUUGCUCUUUGUGGUCUCUAUGUUAUUCUCUUCAUAAUGUUCUUAUUAUUUCUUAGACUUUCUUUGUUUGUUUAUACUCCUUUUUUUGUGAUCCGAUCUGGUUUACCUCACGUCACUUUAUCAAGAAAAUUAGUAGUACUUUCACUUAGAGGGCGUUUGGAUUGACUUAAAAGUUGGUCAACUCUAUUUUAAAGUUAGUUUUUUACUUCUGGAAGUGUUUGACAAAUAUAAAAAAUAACUUGAAGUAAAUAAAAAAUGACUUAAAAUAAGUUAGGAAGUGUUUGACAAGGUGUAAAAUAACUUAAUAUAAGUUAAAAUGACUUAAAAUAAGUCAAAAAUCAAAAGUAUGUCUCCCCCUACUUUUUAUUUUUUGACUUAAAAAGUUAUUUCAGUUUUACUCUUUAUUUUUGACUUAAAAACUACUUUUUUUAAGCAAAUAAGGAUAAGUGUUUACCAGUGGUUGCGCUUAACCAGAUCCAAAUCCAAACGGGCUCUUACUUUUUCAAUACUAUUCGAAUCUUUAAUCUAAUCGAUUGAUGUUAGAAAUAUUUAAUCACUAUAGCUAAUUUAUUUAUAUUAAGGUAAUUUGACAUACUGAACAAUUUAAAAUACAUAAUCAACAUACGGAAAAUAGCAAAAUCCUAUUACAACAAUAAAAUAUAGGUCACAUGAAAAAUAGCAAGGUCGUUACGGCACCAAAAUAUAGGCCACAUGCAAAUAAAUUCAAUACCGGCCAAAAAUAAUGUUGCAUUUAAUUAUAUAUCAGUUGUAACCAAAACUAUUUCCCCCCCUCCUACUUCAAUUAGGAGACACAUUUUAUAACGUAAAAAGUUAUUACUAUUAUAUCUAUAAGCUAAUGUUAGAUUAAAUGAAUAUGUAUUAUUAAAUGUCACAUUUAUUCAAGCUCUCAACAAUAAAUAUAGACAAGAAUUAAAUACAAAUUCUAAUGAAUGCAUGCAAUUAAUUAUGACUCCAUACUAGUAUAAAAGAAAGUACUAAUAGAAAUUAAUAAACUCUUGAUAUAUCAAAUCAAAUCUAACAAAAAUAAUGGCACGUACCACAAAUUCCGUAAUAUGUAUUUUUCUAAUAGUAGUAUUUAUCGCAGAAAUAUGUUUGGGUGAUGAAUAUGAUCUUGAAAAAACUCUUCGAUUGGCAGAUGAAGUAGCUCAUAAGCCUGUAUUUCCAGAAGAUUACGUAGAGUGUGCCAUUGCCUUAUUAUCUCAAGUUUCUGCAGAUAUUAAAUUGGCAAUUAAAAAAUAUCAUGAAGGUCAAAUUAAACAAGUUAUUAAUCAGAUUGAUGAUGCCUUAUAUGAGAUCAAAAGUUGUUCAGAUUUUUCAAUUUAUACGCCAUACAUGUUUGGAGGUCCAGAAGAUAUUGCCCAACUUCAACAACUUCUUAACAAAAGUAAGAAAUUAGCUUUCUCAAUAUUAGUAAGAAGAAGCAAAGGAUUGGGACCUGCUUUGAGCCCAGCCUAGUUAGCUCGUUACCUUAAUAUUUUUCUUUCUUUUUAUUAUUAACGAAGUAUUGUCGUUAAAGCACAAAUAAAUCAAUUUAUUAACUUGCGUACAUAUUUAUGGAGCUACGGAUACACAUAUGUUGAAUCACGCUAUUCAUGCGAGUUCUUUAUGAUUUUUAGUGUUUCCUAAUUUAGGAGAAGAGAAAAAAGUGAAAUGAAGAAUAAUAUUCGUCUUAUUUCUAGAUUUUGAAUUAUGCUGGAAUAUAAUUUAACUUACUUCUUUGCUUCAUUACAUAAGGUUAGUUAAAUUUUAUUUUUCCCUAAUUGAUUGAAUUUGAUGCUACUACAUCAAUUAACUCUUUUAAGACAUGCAUUAAUUUAGUUAGACUAAUCAAACGAAGGAAUGUCUACAAGCAGGGUUUGUCGAGGUUUCCGUUCAUAAACUUUUUUUGAUCGAGUAUUCAAAUACUAAAUAUUAGUACAUGUAAAAUAUAUACGCAAAGGUCUGUCAAGACUCAAGAGUUUCAAAAUUGCUUUUUUCUCCCUUCAAGUUUGGAUUGACUUAUUUUAAGUGUUUUAAAGCUAAAAUAACUUUUAAACACUUUUAAAGUGUUUGGGUAAGUUUAGAAAAUGCUUAUAAACACUUAAUUUUAUGCUUAAAUGAUAAAAAUAAGCCAAAAAUCAUAAAUUAGAUAUAAAUUAUAAGCCAAAAAACCAAUUCAAAUAGGCUCUUUGUUUCAAGUCAACUAACCAAAUUCCAAAAUUAAAAAGAGAAGGUGUAAAAAUUACUGAUGUAACGGAUGGAGUUGUGUCACUGCGAAGCUGGGCGGGGGCACCUGACAUAGGCUGAAGCAAACGGAGCUUCACGCAUUGCAUGACAACAGAAAAAAAAAUAAAAAUCUUGAUCCGAUUCAAUAAACAAACUAUGCUUGUAAUUUUUUUUAUGCUUAUAAUUAAUUAAGUACAAAAAAUGUUUAAUUAUUAGUAAUAACAUUUUGUAUGUAACGCAUGUGUUGUUUUGACGAUGUAUAAAACUAAUCACCUGUUGUAAUUGAGACAUGGGUCAAAACCCAGUACCAAACAUUCAACAAGUCGCAAAAUUAAAUACUUGUUUUAUAUGAAACCAAGACCGCCUCUGUUUUUACCUAAAGCGGUGUUACUCUAUUCUCCAUUAUCAAAUCCAGAGGUACACAAAUAUAUUAGUAUUCAAUUCAAUAAAAAAAACGCAUAUUACCAAUUCUUUUCCCCCAAAAAGAAUCAUUUGAAUAAUCCAUCUUUUUUUUUCUUUCUAAAAACCUUAGUAGGCGUCGCGAUUUUACGCUGAUUUCAUCUCAUGAGAGAUAUGGUUCCAUAUUCUCCAAAAAUCAUGAUAUGGAAUUAUAUGAUAAUAUAUUUUAAUAUAAAAAUUGAUCCACGAGUUUAUAUUUUGUUAAAAUAAUCCCACAUUUAUAUCUACUAACCAUUUAUUUCAUAUGUGAAUAAAAUUUAUAAUCACACCAUUACUUUUUAAAAUUUAUUAUUCUCACCGACAUAAAAUUUAUUAUUUUCACCAACAUAUAUUCACUUUAACUCACACCAACCGAUUGUUAAAAGUGAUGAAAUAUUUAUGGUCUAUGAGCGUGAAAAUAUAGUUGUGGAUGAUAUUGACCAACAAAUGACUCAAAGUAACAAUGUUGGUUCGUUUUCUCGGUCACAUGAUCGAGAAAUACAAGUUCAACGUGAGGAAAUUGUCCGUACUAUGUGGAAGAAUUAUAUUAAAGACUAAUACACUACAAUUUAUAUUCAAUUUUUUUUUUUAUCAAAUUAAAGUUAGAUGAAAUAAUUACUUAAGUGGAGAAUAAAUAGUUUUGUAAUAAUUUAUUAUGCGAUUUAUAAAUUUUUAUUUAUUUGAUAAGAUUGAAUAAACAAUUAGGGCUAUUUUAAUAGUUUUAAAACUCAUGAGAUUUUUUAUGUUUUAUGAGAAAAUAUACAACACAAAUAUUUCAUAUCGCAUGUCCAAACAAAACUUCAAUUUCAUCUCAUAAUUUCAUAUCAUGAUACCAUAUUAUGAUUCUAUAUCAUGAUACCAUAUCGCAUGGCCAAACGAGCCCUCGAUAUACAACUUUUUCAGCGCAAGUGUACACUGUCUAAUAGCAGUUUUUUUCUUGCCCACUGUCUUCAAAACCAUCACCUUGAUGAUCAUAGACAACUAUAUAUAAACACCCUUAAUCACAAUUAACAACCGUCAACCAUCGUCAAAAUACAUAAGCUUAAAUCAAUUUUCUGCUAAAAAUCACCAUAAUUUUGUUAAGAAUUUAGAAAUGGAGGGUAACAAUGCAAUCGGUUCCACGGCUCAGUCAGCUUCAGUUCCAGCGAGUUCGCCGUGUGGAGUUGGAACUUUGGGAUGUCACUUGGCUCGGCGGCUUGUACAAAUCGGCGUGAAGGACGUGUUUUCGGUUCCCGGCGACUUCAACUUGACGUUGCUGGAUCAUCUGAUUGCCGAGCCGGAGCUGAAUUUGAUCGGCUGCUGUAACGAACUAAACGCUGGGUACGCCGCCGACGGGUACGCACGUGCGAAAGGGGUGGGAGCAUGUGUAGUGACAUUCACUGUAGGAGGGCUGAGUGUGCUUAAUGCUAUUGCUGGGGCAUACAGUGAGAAUUUGCCUGUGAUUUGUAUUGUUGGAGGGCCGAAUUCGAAUGACUAUGGUACCAACAGAAUUUUGCAUCAUACUAUUGGCCUACCAGAUUUUAGCCAGGAACUUAGAUGCUUUCAAACUGUUACUUGUUCUCAGGUAUUUCCUGUAUUUGCUCCUGUACCUUGUGCUGCAAUUCUGCGCUUUAUUUAUGACAAUUGCUCUUACUUCAUUCAUCACAUGUAUUAUGUGCGUAAUUCUUGAUUAGAGAAUAACUACUAGUUUAGUUCUUCCACAUUGAUUUAGGUAAUUGCGUUGGACUAAAUUGUAUGUGUAUUUGGAGAUGUUCAACGAAAGUGAUCAAGUUGGUAUAAUGUAACAGGCUGUGGUGAAUAACUUGGAUGAUGCACAUGAAUUGAUUGAUACUGCAAUUUCAACUGCUCUAAAGGAGAGCAAGCCAGUUUACAUUAGCAUAGGUUGCAAUUUGCCUGGGAUCGCUCACCCAACAUUUGCUAGAGAACCUGUUCCUUUCUAUCUUGCUCCAAAGUAUGUUCUUCCCUGUUCCUUUAUUUAUGUAUAUUUUCCAUUUCCUGAAUCCACCAUGAUUCUUUUAACCAUUUUAGUGGAAGGAUCUAUGGUACAUUAGGCUUUUGUCUUAUGAGGGAAAUGCAUUUGGAAAUUGCAGGGUCAGCAAUCAACUAGGAUUAGAAGCAGCUGUUGAAGCAGCAGCAGAGUUCUUGAACAAGUCUGUGAAACCGGUUAUUGUGGGAGGUCCCAAAGUAAGAGUGGCAAAAGCACAAAAGGCCUUUGUGGAACUUGCUGAUGCCUGUGGCUAUCCGUUGGCAGUAAUGCCAUCUGGCAAGGGACUGGUACCAGAGCACCACCCUAGUUUCAUUGGGACAUACUGGGGAGCAGUGAGUUCUAGUUUUUGUGGGGAGAUUGUUGAAUCUGCGGAUGCUUAUGUCUUUGUUGGCCCCAUAUUCAAUGACUACAGCUCUGUUGGAUACUCAUUGCUGAUUAAAAAGGAGAAGUUGAUUGUUGUUGAACCUAAUCGUGUGACUAUUGGAAAUGGCCCCUCCUUUGGUUGGGUUUUCAUGACUGAUUUCUUAAGUGCAUUGGCCAAAAAGCUGAAGAAGAAUACCACUGCUUUGGAAAAUCACCAUCGUAUUUAUGUCCCUCCGGGUGUUGCCUUGAAACGCGAGAAGGAUGAACUUCUUCGAGUCAAUAUACUCUUCAAGCACAUUCAGGUAUAUAUGAAUUGUGAUUAACACAGAACACUUUGUAAAAAAGAAUUGAGAAUUACAUGACACUUGAUACAACAGAAUAAAAAGAGGAAUUCUUACAGUCCCUGCAAGUUUUAAUUUGUUCACUUUGCUUUAUCCUUCACAGGAAAUGCUAAGCGGUAACACUGUAGUGAUUGCAGAGACUGGGGACUCAUGGUUCAAUUGUCAGAAGCUAAAUCUUCCUGAAAAUUGCGGGUAAGCUUGACUCUAACUUUAUUCUAAACCCUGCUUAUGAGGAGUAGAAUUGAAAGUAUUAAUGGAAGAACAAGACAACUUGACAACAUAUCAAUCUCAAUAACAGUUCAGGAAGUCUGAUUGUAUCUAUAUUAAGAUAAAGUUCUAUUCAAAUACUUGCAGGUUUGAAUUCCAGAUGCAGUAUGGAUCCAUUGGCUGGUCAGUCGGUGCCACUCUCGGUUAUGCUCAGGCUGCUAAAGAUAAACGUAUCAUUGCCUGCAUCGGUGAUGGAAGCUUCCAGGUCAGUUGCUCAUAUUGGUUGUGAACUUAUGAUCAUACUCUCAACUGUUCUCAUUUUUUGCUGCUCAAGACUCAUUAGCAUACUUAGUUUUUCUUAAAGUGAAUUAUGAGAAACAUAAUUGAGAAAGCUAAAACUCUUUUUGGCAACAUAGGUUACUGCUCAAGAUAUAUCAACCAUGAUAAGAUGUGCACAAAAGAACAUUAUAUUUCUCAUCAACAACGGAGGUUAUACCAUUGAAGUAGAGAUUCAUGAUGGCCCAUAUAACGUGAUUAAGAACUGGGACUACACUGGUCUUGUGAAUGCUAUCCAUAAUGGUGAAGGCAAAUGUUGGACUGCAAAGGUCAGUAUUUAUGAACACAUUGUAACAUCUUCUCUCACUAUUCGAUUCGAAAAUUGUCAAUGUGACAUGCACCUAUACAAAAAUUGAUGAGAUAUGUUAUUGCAGGUAAAGACGGAGGAGGACCUAACCGAGGCAAUAGCAACAGCGACAAGCACACACAAGGACUCCUUGUGUUUCAUUGAAGUCUUUGUGCACAAGGAUGAUACUAGCAAAGAGCUUUUGGAAUGGGGAUCGCGUGUUUCUGCAGCUAAUAGCCGUCCUCCUAAUCCUCAGUAGCGAUCUAUCGUUGUCCAAAAUAAGAUACCAGGAAAAGGCUUAAGAAUUUUAAUGUUUUCCCUUAGUUAUAGUUAUGUCCUGCUUUUGUAAUCUAUAACUUAGAAGUGUCAUCGUCCAUAAAAUGUACCAAAUGUCUCUAUUAUCAAUAAUAAUAUUGUUGAUCACUUUUCAUUUCUCACGUGGCUGCAACCUUUUUAUGUUCAAAUUAGGUAAAUAUCCCAACCAAGCUUGUAAAAAAAUUGCCAGAAAAUCAUACGCUACAUUGAUGAUUUUGGUACAUAUGCUGGGAACCACUUUAUUAUAAUGGCCCUUGAAAUUAAAGUACCUCCUUUUUUUUUUUCAACUUUAGAAAUUAAGUAGCCACAUGAAUGAAAAGUUGCUUUUCUAUCACCCAUCAUUGCUGAAUGGAAAGACACACAUGAAACCCCAGUCCCCACGGGGUCACUAUAUAUGUCACAAGUUAAUCGAACAUAGAUAAAACCUGCUGACACUGUUGCAUUGCUUAAGGCAUAUAUAACUUUAUUCGUAAAGAAAAGAUAAUUAUAGGUAAAACAAUAAGAAUAGUAAUAAUGGGCAUGCUAUAAUAGCUUAAUCACACUAGCUAACUGUGUGAAAAAAAUUAAGUUGUUAAUGCAUAUAACUUAAAUCUAUUAGUCAUAUAGUAUGAAUAAUUAUUAAUGAUUGACAUAUGAAUCUUUGACCAUCUAGAAUGACUUCCUCACUUUAUGUUGCUAUAUUUCCCUAAUUAUGUUUCCAAUGCCAUAUGGGUAACACCAUCCUUAAGAGCUCCGAUCUUUUUGUUCCUUUUACCCCUCGAACCUAAAAUUGGAACAAGUGAAUGUACUAAUUAGGUUUUAUGAAAGGGACUUAUAUAAGAAUUGGCAUCUAAAUGAGACUGACAAUUGGGAAUUGAAUGCAUCCAAAUGGUAACACAAAUUUGAUUGAAACAGAUCAGUAGGAGGGCAGUACUGUGAGCUGCUUUUAAUUGAAUGCCUUUGCUGCCAAUAGAACUGACAAGUAUCAGUAGAGAGUAGCAUUAACAAUCUAGACUUUUAUGAAUAUGACACUUAUGAUGUACCUAAGUUACAAUCACUGCUUCUAGAUCCUGUGUACUAACUGAAAAUAGCCAAAUUUUUGAAAAAACCCAACUUUCUUUUAUCCCUUUAAUUUGAUUCUUUGAUAGCUACAACACCAAAUAUACAUGACACCAUUUUCGUAAUUCGCAUCUUGGUCUUUCUUUCAUUAAUUCAAAGAAUCUUCUUCCUCUUGCCCUUAGCUCUCUCUAAACUAUUCAUCUAGUCGUUUGGUUGGAGGGAUUAGGUGGGUUAUCCCAAUUUAGAAUUAGAAAUUUAAAAUUUGGUUGGAAGUAUUAAUCAAAAUUGGUCUUAGAAUUAGGACUAUAGUCUAGAAUACUUAUCUCAUAUAGUAUAUAAUAUGAGAUAAGUUAUCGUCCUAGUUUUAAUCGCAAGAUUAUAAUUUUGGGAUAUCCCGGUUCCAAACAAAACAUACCCUUGCCAUGUUUCUUUUUCGUGACCCGCUCCAAGUUGAGAUUAUGAAUCUUUUGAUGAGGAGCUGAUCAUCCAAUUAAGGAGGCAAAAUUACAAGAAUAAUAAUUUUACAGAAACUUAAAAAUAAUAAUAACAUAAGAAAUUCUGCAUUAUAUCCACUCAACAAAGGUUUCAGCUUCUGAGAAAAGUGAAGAAAAUUCUGAAAAGAAAUGCUAGUCUUGAAUUCUUGAUAAUGCAGAGGCAGUGGGUCAAGAAGCAGAAAAAAAUGUAGCCUGCUCCUCUUCCCCUUGAAUUCUUGAAGCACUAGAAAUUAGUCCUGAGAAACCAUCAUUGGCAAAUCCAUAUGAAAGGGUCUCAAGUUGUGUGCUUAAUGGAUCACUCAUUAGAGGGAAGAAACUGGACUGAAGGGGUUCCCUGUGAGAAAAAACCUGAUUUUGACUUAAAACUGAUGGGAAAUGAUUAACUGAAGUGGUGGUUAAGAAGCUGCCUUGAUGAUGAUGAUUACCAGAGGAUAGGAUGGUGUCAUCUUGUAAAGACUGGAAAUUGAGAGAAUGCCCAUGUGGGUAGCUCUGUAACUCACUUAAAAAUGGAAUCUUGAAACCAUCAGAUGAUGAAAACAAGUUAAAAUUCUGAAUUGGGAUGUCAUAAUUCACCUCUUGCUGGUUGUGUUGAACUCCAUUUUCAGAAUUGGGAACACCUCUGUUUUCUUGGCUAAAUCUUGGACUCUGUUCUUGAUCAAAUGAAUACUGCAUUUUUUUGGGAUUAAGUUUAGUACAGUGAAAAUUAUUAGGGAACUCACCAAGAGCAUCAAUUGCAGCUUUAGCUUCUUUAAUCAGCCAAUCAAUAGCCUUACUUGGACGGUCAUAGCCAAGCCUAUCUUGCACAUCAUAGAACUGAAUUGCAGUGUUUGGUGAAAGCCUAACUCGUCGAUCCUUCGGACCUCUUGCAGUUGAUACCUUACUGUGCCUGUCUUUCCUUCCUGUGGCUCGAAUAAUUCGGCCUCCAUGGCCUUCUAUAACAUCUGUUUUAGCUCUCUUUGGCUUCAUUCUUCUUGUCCCUUUGUUCAAUUCUUGUUCACAUACUGUGAAAUUAGCCCAUUUUGCUGGCUUUUUGCAGAGUGACUGUGGCAUCUGCUGAUUUUGGUAGUGAUUUUGAAGAUUUCUAAUGCCAUUUUCUUGAAAAACUUCCUCUUCCUCCUCCUCUUCUUCUUCUGAUCCAUCUUCUUCAUCUGAUACUUGAAACUGAUGAUUCAUCGGAGGAUUCAGAUUGGAAGUAAUCUAUCUCCACCUUCCUCGAUCUCUUCCACCUUUUAUCUUUUUAGUGUUGGCACUUGGCACUUGGCAAAUGGCAAAUGGCAAAUGGCAAUGGCAGCUUUAAUAAUAAAGUCACUGUGACUUUGGGCCCUUAAAGAAUAGCUUUACAUAAGAUAAUUGUAAGGUUGUAUGUUGUAACCAGUAAGUAGUAAGUCCAAAAGGAUUCAUGCAAAGUAUCAUGGAAAUUAAACAGGCUUUCGGUGCGGGUCGGAAUUAGUAGAGUCCAAAAUAGGUACCAGAAAUUGGGUAGGAAACAAAAAAAUUGUAUAGAGUGUGAGCAAAAGCAAGUACAAAUACACAAGUAUAGUAGAGCAUAUAGGACUUUCAGGUGUGUGCCCCAGUUUGGUUAAAUUUAUGUCCCCAUCAUAUAUGCAGAUAAAUUAUACAUAACAACAAAAAUAUUGAGUAAGUGAAAAUGAAGAGAGACCAUUUUACCUUCAUGCAUGUACCUAGAGGAAAAAAAGAUAACACUAGUACAUUUGGUACAUUCCUCACUCAUAAUUAAACAAGAGACUUUAACUUAAAAAGAGUUUGAAAUUAAUUGGGUAAAGACUAAAGUAAUGUUUAUCUGUUUGUAUAUAAAGGUUGCACCUUUAGUAAAAACAUUCACUAUUAUUUACCCUUCAUCAUUUACAACAUCCCCUAUUUGGCUAUUUUUAUCGUGUAAAAUAACAUUAGUGUGUGUCGAUUUCAAUAUGAUUAUUGUUCUAACGUGUUAGUUUAAUAGAAUUCACAAUGUUCUGUCUAGAACUUACGUAUGUAAAAAUUAUUGCAAAAAUCACACUCUCAACUCAGAGAUCGCGUUAUCUGAAUAUGAAUAUACCAUCCUCCAAUUCGGAUUUAAAAAAGAAAAGAUUGAAGGAAUCCUUCUUAACAAGUUUACAACUAUACUUAUUCUGUAAUUUCCUGUCUUGUGCCUAUUUUAACCCUCUCACCCUAAAUAAUUGAUUGUCCAAUGUCCCAACAAGGUAAAAAGCCAACUCAUUUACUCUUUGAAAUUCACAUCGAUCUCACUUUUUUUAUGACAUCCAUACAUCCCCUCAGUACAAAUAGUUAUUACUACUGUUGUUUAGUUACUUUAUUAACCUGCUCGAUCGCCAGAAAAUACUGGACUGAAAUUAAUUAAUUACCAAGAUUAAAGCAUCCCUUGUUUACAGUAGUAAAUCCAUGAGAGUAGGUUACUGAAAUUCUGAAAAAUGAAUGUGACCCUCUACCCCCGCUUUAUUUCUUGAGGUUUUGCAUGUUGUGGCAAAGUCAGUUUUUUUUUUAAAAAAAUAGUUGAAGAAUAUUACAAUUAGGAAUUAAACCUAUAAUAUAAAGUUAUUUUUUGUACCCUUCACCACUUUACAUAAAGUUUCUUCUUGUGCAUGAAAAUUUUCUUUUAUUUAUAUAAUAUGUGCAGUAUACUUUAAACCUCCUUUGUACUAAUAUCGUAGUUAGAAAAAUACGCAAGUACUAUGGGCCUAUUGCUUCAAUUCAAUUUGUACAAUGGUUCUGGUCUAUUAUUCAGGGUUGUGGUGUACUGCUCUAUGACUUUACUUUAUAUCCCUAAUUAGAUAGUACUUUCUCCGCAAGAAUGACAUAUUUUCUUAGUUAGUCUGUUUAAAAAAGAAUGAUCAUUACACUUGACAUAACUUUAAUUUAAGACAUCUAUAAUUUCCAUGUGCUCAAGACCACAAAAUUAAAGAGUAUUUUGGUACAUUUGAUAUAACUUUAAUUUAAGACCAUAAUAUUCACAAAAUUGAAAAGUUUUUUAUUUUUUUUAUAAAUUUCAUAUCAAGUCAAACUAGAUCAUUUUUUUAAAAAAAACGAAAGGUGGUCGACCCGUUUAGUUUGAGGGCCCUCCUGGGCUCCAGGAACAAGAACAAAUUGCAUGCGUGCAUGUGCAUGGUCUUUUCUUAUCAACUGUAGUACUGUAUAUUAUAUCACGUGAAUCCCUUCAGAUCCUCCCUUUUCAUGCUCUAAUUUUAUCAUUCACUACUCUACCAUGUGACGAAUACCUUUUUCUUCUUUUUCUUUUUUAAAGAGUUUGAUUUUUUAAAUUGUCACUCAAAUAAUAAUUAUUAUCUUAAAAAGUCAUUUUUUUUUUAUUGAAGAUAAUUGAAUCAAGAAGAUAUGUGUUUUUAUAAGAUAAUAGAAUAACUAUUAAUGGAGUGAUUACCAAAAAUUCAAACGUAUUUUAAGUUGAGGCCUAGUCUUAUAUAUAGCGUGUAUGCAGGGUCGUCUCAACAAGUUUGGGGGGCCUAAAGCCAAACAUUAUAAAGAGGCCCUAUUUUUUAGUUGAUAAAUAUAAAUUGAAUAAUUAUAGUAUACUAGUGUAAUCCUACAAAUGAGGUCUGGAGAAGCAGGAUAUAUGUAGAUAUUAUGAAGUAAAAAUGCAAAUAAUGUAAAUUUUCAAUGAAAAUUAUAUAAUGUAAAGUUGGAAUAAUAAAACAUCACGAAAUUUUUUAAAAAUAUGAUGCUAUUAAAAUAGUAUAGCGAUGAAUUUGAUAAGUUAAUAAAUAAUAUUAAAACAGUGUUGAUUAGUUUUAGUGCUUGAAAUUUGAAUAAGACACCAAAAACAAAUUUGAUCUUUUUAUAAACACACAACAAUACAUAAUGUCGAAUGUUUGAACGUUUGAGAGACUUCAGAAUAUUCAAUAAUGAAAGAAGGGAUAAGGCACAAGUACCUCCUAGACUAUGACCGAAAUUUCAGAGGCACACCUUAACUAAACUAAGGUCCUAUUACCCCCUGAACUCAUUUUAUAUAUAAUAUUGUACACCUUUUGGCUUAUGUGGCACACUCCGUGACUCCAUGCAGUUGAGGCGCGUGGGAUAUAUUUAAAUGCCACGUAAGCCAAAAAGAUGUACAAAAUUACAAAAAAAAAUGAGUUCAGGGGGUAAUAGGACAUUAGUUUAGUUAAGGUGUGUCUCUGAGAUUUGGGUCAUAGAUUAGGGAGGUACUUCUACCUUUUCCCAAAAGAAAAUGACUAAAAAUAUCAUCAACUUAUUAAAAAUGAUUUUAAAAUUAAAAAUCCAUGGAAGCUUUUGUGGUGCAAGCUUAUUGUCUCUAAUUCUCUGAGUAUUAUUAGUUUCUUAUAAUUUGCUUUAAACUUGUAAUUUUAACAUAGUUAAUUUUACUUUGUUUCAGUUACUUUAUAGGUACCUCAGGGGCCCCAAAUUUUUUGGGGCCCCAAGCAAUUGCUUUAGUGGCCUUAUGGUCGAGACGGCCCUGCGUGUAUGUAUAAUGAUUGAUAACCAAUGUAUUUUUUGUAAAAGAAAUAACUAAAUAGGGUACCACUAACCCCUUGUUACGUUGGUUGAUUAAACCUGAUAUAAAAAAAAUAAAAUGGUUAAAUGCCACCGGCUUCCCGGAAAAAAAUAUUUGUAAUAUUGACAUGCAAACUGUUGAAGAAGGACAAAAAGACUACAUUGGUGGUUAAUGAGAUGAGUGAACUCCUUAUAAAACUUGGACAAGUCUUUUCUCUUUGAGCUAGCUUAAAAAAAUAAGGGAAAAAGGACAAAUAUACCUCUGAACUAUCAUAAAUGGUAUGCAGAUACCCUCCAUCAUACUUUUGGGACAUUGGUGCCUCUGUCGUUUAAAAACUAGAGCAUAUAUACCCUUUAUACUAACGGACAUACACGUGUCAUAAUCUUAUCCAUCGACCCGACGGAUAAGAUUGCACCACGUGCCCCUAUUUAGUCUUUCGCCCUUAGAGUGAAGGGUGUAUAUGCUCUACCUUUUGGACGGCAGGAGCACCAAUGUCCCAAAAAUAUGAUGGAGGGUAUAUGCAUACCAUUUAUGAUAGUUCGGGAGUAUAUAUGUCUUUUUUCCCAAAAAAUAAUUAUAAGGCUAGUAGGACUAAAGCACGCGACCUUAAGAAAUUUUUGCAAUCCCUUUAUCAUCAGACUAAACAUUUAACUUGUGUUAAUAGGUGUCAAUACUUGUUUAUAUUUUUAUUAAAUUAAAAUUUAACCUUUAUGUAAUUUUUCGGCGAAUGUGUAUUGGUUCGAUGCUCCUUGAGCAAGGGUGGCUCCCCCUGGUGCUACUCACGUUUCAUGUUUCAUAAGAAUACAAAGAAGUACUAAUUUGGAGCUUUGAAAAUAAGAAGAAUUUUCCCUAUGAGAAGAAAGAAGAAAAAUUAUCUAAAUUGUCGGUACGAAGACAAAGCGUAGCCAUACAAUUAAUCUGUAAUCGUCAUAUAAAAAUGCUACUUAGCUUAAUUAGUCACAAAUUACGCUUUUAUAGAUUUAGUUUUCUCUAAUCUAAUCCACUAUUUCCUAAAUAAUUCAUUUGUUACGGCCAAUAAAUAACUCUAGUCAGCCUAUAAGCUGAAAAGGGUCUAAAUAAAACUAAAACAAAAAGCUGCAUAAUUGACUUCAAUUAGUUUAGUAUUCAUUAAGAUAUUUUAUGUAGCUGUUAUGUCUAAUACUGCCCCUAUUCCUUUUAUUAAGGAGUAUUUAGUUAUUUUUAUCUACUUUUUCCCCUCCACCACGUGAUCUAUAUACAUCUAUGAAUCAAAAUGGUCAAAUCAAUAAAUAUAAGAUACUCUCUCCGUUUCAUUUUAUAUGACAACAUUUGAUCGGGUACGGAGUUUAAGAAAUAAAUGAAGACUUUGAAAUGUUUACCAAAUUCCCAUUUAAAAAGUAGACUCACUUUUCUCGCUCUUCAUAAAUAUAUUGGAGUAUUAUUUUAAGAUUAAGUGGGACCAACAAGGAUAAAAAAAAAUUGUACCUUUAAAUACUUACCAUAUAAGGAAAUGUGACAUUCUUUUUGGGACUGAUCAAAAAGAAAAUGAUGCCACAUAAAAUGGGAUGGAGGGAGUAAUGUUUUUGAUACACACUUAUCACUUAAUUUUGGUUAAGAACAAUUUUUCACCGUUAAAAUUAAAUUGUUUGAUUUAGUGCAUAAAUAAUCAUCAGUAAAAUAUAUAUUUAAUAACUUUCUCUACAUUAACUUUAAGCCAAACUAUAUACUCCCUCCGUUUCACAAAGAAUGAUCUGGUUUGACUUGGCACAAAGUUUAAGUAAAUAAAGAAGACUUUUGAAUCUUGUGGUCCUAAAUUAAAGUUAUGUCAAAUGUACAAAAUUGCCCUUAAUCUUGUGGUCUUAAACAUGCCACGUGGAAAGCAAAAAGUAAAAUGUUACCAAAAAAGGAAAGAGGUCAUUCUUUUUGAAACUGAACUAAAAAAGAAAGGAGGUCAUUCUUUGUGAAACGGAGGGAGUAGUAUAUAUUCAUAGAUGGAAUGACCUGAGAGGCCCAUAUACUUGGCUCCGUUUGUCACAUGAACCCUUCUACUCACAACUUUGCCAACUGAACUCUCGAACCCAUUGAAACACAAUAUUUUAAACCCAUUUAACCGUUGACCAAGUGUACGUGGCAACUUAAUAAUUGAACUGGAACAAACACGUGCUUUAACGCGUUAAAGGAACGUAGACAUAAAAUUUUAGACUAAAAACAAUUAUAAGAAAAAGAAAAAAAUGAAUAAAAAGAAAAUAAAUAAAUAAAUAAAUAUAAAGUUUGUCAUUUUUUUGUUUUUUCUCCCAGCUUCUUUUCUCUGUCUACCCACUUGUUCUUCACCCCACCCGUUCUUCCCCAACCCAAUUCCCAUUUCUCUCACUUUCAGAAAUCCUUUUUAGAGGUAAUUGCUUCAAUGUUUGUGAGAUUAAAUUAUACGGAGAGAAGCUAUUGGGGAAACGGGGGCCAGGGAGGGGUAAUUUUCAGGUGGUGAAGUGAAAGAUUCGGUGAUUUUGGAGAGUAAAGAGUGAUUGUUGUAUGUCUUUGUGAAAUUAGGUGAAGUGUGUUGUGUAAAAUUAUAUGAAGAUGUUAAAGCAUAUUAAGAUAUUUUAAUGUGGUUCGUUGGUAUUAGAGAAGUAGUGUGGUUCGUCCACAAUAAUGGAGGAAACGAAUUCACGGUGCUUCAAGUGAGGGACGGAGACGUUGGUAAAAAAAAAAUGACAAAAUUAUGAAUGAUAGAAAUUUGGAGAAGAAUGGUGAUUUAUAAUUAUUUAAGGUAGUGUUUAAGGUAAGGAUGCAAGAUUGCAAUGAUGUUUUUGGUGUAAAAAAUGGAGAGUAGUAGUUAAGGAUAGGGGCAGUGAAGGAGAAACAUAAUGAAAAAGAAGAAGAAAUUAUUUUCUUAAAAUAAAGUAAAAAUAAAUGAUGUGUCAUUAAAAAUGUGGAUGAUGACAUGUUAUUUUUACUGUGUGUUUGAAGUGCACGCGAAGUCAAAAGGGUUUAAAAUAUUGAGUUUCAGUGAGUUCGAGGGUUCAAUUGGCAAAGUCGUGAGUAGAAGGAUUCAUGUGACAAACGGAGCCAAGUACAUGAGUUAUCAUAUAUAAACUAUAGUAGUGUCAUAUAAAAAGUGUCUCCGUGCCUGUGCUAUUAGGGAAAAAAAGACAGAAAAUAAAAGGAAACAAGGGAAAUAAUUAAUUCUCAUAUUUAAGUUGCUUCAUAUCUUUUUAGGCAUGCAUAUAAAGGUUAACUAGAUGAAUUAGAAACAGAAUUCAGAACCCACGCCGUAUUUCAGUUGCUUCAUUUUAUCUUUUUAGGCAUGCAUUUUCUUUUGAGUUUUCAAGUAUUUGUAAGGUCCGGCCCAUUACUUUUUCAUCAUCUUUUACAUGUAUUUAAUGUCCAUAAAGUGAAAAACUGUUGAGUCCGACAUCAAAAUGGAUACUUUCUGGACUUUGUGUACAAAAAAGUGUCCGUUUUGAUGCCGGACUGCAAAUUAGAUAGCAGAAGAGUACAUUUGAGUUUCCGUUCCUUAUUGAACCUAUGUCUCUCAGGUUAUAACAAUACCAUCAAAUAAAGCAGGCAGGGUAUGCAGAGUUUAUUGCUAUAUGGUACUCAUUAAAUUAAACGAUAAAUAGAUAAGAGGAACAGAAUGUUCUGAGCACGCCAAGCUAUAAUAUAAAUUCUCUUGAAUGAGAUGUGAUAUCUAUACACAUGUUAACCUAUGAAUAACUUAUCAUCUCAGAUAAACAUAUGAAGAGAAGAAUUUGAAAAAAUAAAGAAAACGAUGGCAAACUCUCAGUCUGGUGAUUAUAACUUACAAAUUUUUUUUUCACCUUCAUCAUCAGCAAUAUGCAUAACCCGAAAUGUCUAGGCUUCAACGUCUUAUAUUUUCAGUUCGCUUCGAUUACCACCUCUUGUUUUUCAGUGCUGACCUCCUUAACUUUACUGCUCACCUUUUGUGCUGCUACUUCAUUGGACCUUUUAGCUUUCAUAGUGCCUUUCCCAUUGAGAGAAGUUAAUAUAACAGAAACUGGUGUUUUCUUUAUCGGGCUUGUAAUACUUUUAGUGUUCUUGCUUGCUUUAUCGUUGACUUUCUUUGGACUUGCAUGAACAAGAACCCGGCUUUCCCAUGGUCGAGCAGCAACCCAGCGAUCCUUCCAGCUCCAGCCCCAAUUAGCUUUGCUCAUUUCAUUAUUUCCAGAUCCAAAAACUGGGUUGGAAUUGGCCCUCCACUGUAACAUAAUAUUUCAGUAGGAACUCUUGUUCUGAAAUUGCGCUGUAAAAAGGCUAAAUAUUGUCAUUCAGUUUAAUACCUGAUGAGAAAAGGCAUAGGCCAUAGCUCGUUCCCGUUUAAUAGCUGCUUCUUCUCUCUGGUGAAUCCUUGUUAGAAUAACUUCCAUUGUUUCAGGGCCACCACUCCAUUCUAUCUGUCAGCCGUUCACUCAUGUUAAAGAGAAAUAAUAUAGCUAGGUAGGACACUAAAUUGCACCAUGGCCAAGAUUGGGCAAACACAACCAGUGGAAAGCAAUAUAAAUAUGGGUUUGUGGAAGUUUUUAGUUUGGCGUCUACUUUAUACUUUUUGCUCGAGAGAACAACAACUACUACUACGCCUUAGUCCCAAAUAGAGCAUCAUUCGUAAUCUUUGUCAAGUGAGAAGGCAUCAUAAGACAAAGAAACUGGCAUGAGCUCCUAUGACUGGAAUGCAAAAAAGAUAAAUAGAAUGCAGUUUAAGCAUGGAGUUUGUCAAAAGUUCUAGCACGAGAAGUUUAUAGCUUGAUUUCUGUUAAAGCAAAGGCAUAAGAUUAUGAAGGUUUGGUAUCAUGAAUUCUACUCAUAUGAAAGAAAAUGCUGCUAACUGGAGCUUUCCUUUUGAUACUGUAAGUUUGGAUAUCUGAAUUCUAUUAACGAAAUUCCACGCAUUGCUUCUAAUAGUAGAAAUUUAUUUUUAUCUAUCUUGCCAUCAAAGAGGAAUCUUCUCUAGUGGAUCAUUUAUUUAAAAUGGAAAUAAAUGAGGCUUUAAGCCUCAAACUUUUGGAUUAAAACAAAAAAAACAUAGGGUUAACAGAAAUGAUAAUUUAGUUGAAUGAUCAAGGCAAGAAAAUCUCUUGAUAGCAGAAAGAGAAAGCAAAUACUGAUUUGAAAGCUUCAAAGACUGGGGAGAAAAACUAGUAGGAUAACAAUUAGUGGGCAUAAGAAUGUCUCCAACUAACCUCUAUAUUUUGAAGCUUUGUCUCUAGCUUCACUUGAUUCUCGUGCUUCUUCCGCUUAAGAUGCCCUUCCAUCACCAUGUGGACACGACGAGCUCUUAUCUCAUUUUGCAUCGUGUUCCAUGAACCGAUAUAGUUCAAAGCUGAUGAAGCUUGUUUUUUCACUGAAGGAUGUUGUGUCAGGGACUGUAACCUUGUAUUUCCUUUCAAUCGACGUAAUGUUUUCCUAGCCUGCAAACAGAGAGAACUCUAUUCAACCUAAAGAGAAGAGUUGAAGCACUUUCUUUGAAACGCUCAUCUGACAUCAUCAGUUCCCUUUUCACUAAAUAUAUAUCAAUAAGCCACACUGGAAGGAUACAGGAAUUUUCAGUUCAAUUAAUAUUAAGGGAUUUCACAAGUUAAAGGAGUGAUCUAACAAUUGCAGUGGCAUUGCAGAAAAGAUACUGAAACCAUUAUGCUGGAUGCGAUCCCUCUCCUUUUUCUGGGGGACUGCAAUCCUGCUUCAUAGCAUGAUACAAAUGAUUUGAUGGGAAAUGUUUACUAAUCAUCUUCUGUCACAAUUAUAACAAAAGAUAGCUUUUUUCCAUGCCAUGAAAUAAGACACCAGUAAAUUUACCAGAAUUUUCCAAAGUAAGAUAAAUUGCGUGUGAGCAUUGAACAAUUAGGAUGUCUCAGAUAGAUAAAAAAAUGAUAAAAUGCUAUGUGCUUCUUUAAUUGGUUAGUGUCCUAAAUUGGGAGCGUAUGUCUGACGAUCAGGACAGUAGACAGAAAGGAAGGUUUAUAUCGCUCUGUAACAGCAAUAUCUGAGUCUCAAGGGAAGUUAUCAGAAGAAAAGUCACUCAAGAAAUGUUUAGUCGCGAGAAGAAUAAAUCACAAAAGCAUCUAUUUUAGAAUAAAUCAUUAGAAAUAAUAGUUGAAUGAUAUGCUUUUACCACAAAAGCACGGACUGCGGUCUGAAUCUUAAUAGCUGCUCUGUCCUCAAUAGGCAUUCCCAGUUCCCUCUGAUUCUUGAUCAAGACACCAUUGGUUAUUUUAGAAGGCUCUUUCUGCAGGGGAUUAUCUCCUUUGCAUCCAUUAGACUUUUUGUUUGCUGAUGUUCCCUGUUUUAAACUAAAAAUAUGAAUCCAGUUGAUCUUAUAAAGUACUGGUGAUUCCGAAAUUUAUUAUAAAAAUAUGGAAGGAAUGGAUUGUCAUGGACUAAUGAGACAAAUAUGACAGCUUACCUUGAUUUUUUUCGAUCUCCCAUCCUUAGCUUUUCUCAUACCGAUUACAUUCUUCAGCCAGCCUGCAGAACCCAUUGCAGGUGCUUGUUAUAUAUAUCUUACUCAGCUGCAGCUCACAACAAAUGGAACAUGGAAUGGUAUUAGAUAUGAAAAUAUCCAGAUUGAAUGUUUGUUAUUUUACAUAUGCCAGGCUCUUCUAUUCAUUUGCAUCAUUGGGUGAAAUGUGUAGUGGGUAUUUCAAAUGGUUGCAUUAUCCAUGAAAAUGUUCUUUCAACUGAUCAAAUUGACAACAAGAAGCCGUUUUACCCAAAAAAAAAAGGAUAAGAGGAGAAGUCUAAUUGUCGGAAAUUUCACACUGUCUAACAGAUGAUUAAAUUAAUUAUAUUGGAUUUCUGUUACCUUCAAAGACUUGAUGAGUCUUUUAAAUGUAUCUGAGUUACUUUACAGGCAGCACCAAAUUCUUAAUCGUUUUCCCGUGUUAGCUUCAGAUUUCUCACUGGUGGUCUGCAGGGAGGUGAGAAAUUUUGGUUGGCUACAACUCUAUAGAAGGGCAAUGUGUGAUCAUUUCAGUCCAUUAUAUUUGUGAAUACAUUACUUUUAAAUCUUUAGGUGAACUACAACUACCUAAGGUAAGUAGCCGGGUUAAACUCUGACAAGAUUAGGUGAUGUUACCAUAACAAAUGCUUACUAAUACUCAAGGCUCUAUUGAACUGCAAGUGGAAUAACUAAAUACAGAUAGUCAGAAAAUGAGAAUGAAAUAAUGGUGCCCUGGGCCAAAAAAGCAAUUCCCAUAUACUCACAUACGCAUUCAAACGACUUGUUAAAAGAAGUUCACACAACCUAGCCGCUUGAUUACAUCAAGAAUUACUUAUUAUUACAAGAAAAAAAAAAAACUUCAUCUGAGCAAAGAAAUAAACAGUUCUCUUAGAAUUUCCAAUUGAUAUACAUUUUCAUUUACGGAUCAUUUAUCAAGCCAUCAAUUAAUAACCUCACACCUUCCCGCCAUCACCAGAAAAUUAUCUACAUAUUUUACCACUGAAACAUUAGGUAGUGCUUAAUAAAACUCUUAUGUAAACAACUAGUUUGGAUCUCCUUGUGCUAGUUAUUAUGAAGCAUAAUUGCAUGACCCAAAAGAUUAACCCUGACAACCUAUCACAAUUUCCGACCAUGCACAACUUUUUCAAUGAACAAAAUGCCGCGUCAGUUAACACCCUAAGCACACGAGCUUCGGUCAAACUGCUAUUACUGUAAAGAUCCACUAUACUGGCUUACACCUGCUUGGUGUAGUCAGAAUAAGAAUGAACUUGCAAAGCCAUUUACUUUAAAUUAGUCAUUCUAUAUAGCCAAUUAUGAAUGAAGAGCAACAGGAAGUCACCUAGAGAAGUUGAAACAAUUCAAAUACACAUAGCUUAUUACCUAUUCAUGAUCUAGGUAUGGAUACAACUGAUCUAUAAUUCAUCCAUUUAUUCUAUAGUAGUGUACAAGAGAAAAGCUCAAUAAUUUACCAACAACAACAUACCCAGUGGAAUCCUACAAGUGGGGUCUGAGGAGGACAGAGAGUACGCAGACCUUACCAUUACCUCGUGGAGGUAGAGAGGUUGUUUCCAAAAGACCCCGGCUCAAUAAUUUACAAAAAUCAUCUUAAUUUCAAUUUGGACUCUCAAUCUACAAGUCCAUAUCAUCUCCUAAUUUGACUUCUAGUACCAAAUUGUAAAAUCUUUAAACACAUUUAGUCACAGAAACAAUAUGAAUGAACCAAUAAUCAAUCAAGACGACAUCUUUUGAUUGCUUUUUCCCAAUAAGCAGACAGAAUCUAAUAUCUGUCUGAAAUUUCAAGAAAAUAAAUAGCACCCAUAAUCAUAUUUCCACCAUAGACUAAGAAGAACAAAUAAAAAUGUAAACUUGAAAGAGUAAACAAAAAUUGUGGCUACAAGAAAGCAUACCAGAGAAAAAACCCUUCACUUGUAAGCUGUUUCUAGCAAAUGGGUAUUUCCAAAAUGCAAAGUAAAAACAGAAUAAAAAGAGGAAAACCAAGUGAUGACAGAGUAGUGAUGGCAGUGGGGAAAAAAUAGGAUGAGUAGAAGAGAAGAAAUACUUGAGAAAGAUGACAUCAAAAGAAAUAAAAAAAAACAAAAGGUUGGUACAAUUUGAUUGUUUUUGUGUGGAAUAUUGAUAUUUUGGCAUGGCCCCAUAACACAAAGUAGUUGAGUAUAUUUUCUAAAAGAAGUUGAAUCAGAUGUACAUUUGUUGGAUUAAAAAGGAGCAAUAAAUGAUACUCUGUUUAAAAUUGGAUUAGAAUAAUGAAAGGAAUCCCAAUCAAAGAUUAUUUGUUCUUUAGUCAAUAAAUUGCUGCUGUAGGGACAGCACAAUAACCAUAGUCUUCAUCCUUAUUAGCACUAAAAUAUAGGCAAUCGUUUAUGGCAUAGUUUGUCUGGCAUUCUUUAAAGAUAAAAAAAAAAAAAAAAACUCCAAACUGACAUAGAAGGUGACUUUAUUCACAAUACUCGAAGUUUUGAAUUAAGGAAAAAGAGCUACUUACCACACCAUAACCAGACUCAGACCUAUAUAUGUAUUUAAGAAAUUUACUAAAUAUAUAUAAAUAAUCUAGUAACAUUAACCAUUAUGAUGUUAACUUGAGAUCAUUGUAGAAAUACAUAAACUUUACUUCUGAAUUCGGGUUUAACCAGAACUUUUAGUGAUUGAUAAAUAGCCUUAUAAACUAUUUUUAUUAGGGAAAUUACUCGUUUUAUUUUUACAAAUAGUGUUUGUUUGAGCCAAAUCGUAAAUGAAAGUACAUAAUUCACUUCUAAUUUAUUUAUUUUUUGGCUCAAACAAACAUUUUGUUUUUCAAAAACUCAAUAACUAAGUGUGCAAACUCCAACAAUUCAAAUGCCACCUUAAUUUAAAAAGAAUAAAAAAGCUUAUGUUGUUGUUUUACUUGUUUGUCUUCCUUCUUUUUCAUGGCACAAUGAUUGAGGAUAUGGUAAAAAAAUAUUACUAAUAAUUAUGCCAACUUAAGAAUUAAGAAUCCUCUAUUGAAUUUGAAUCUUGUCUAGUGUGAUAGACUAAUCUUUUCUUUAUCCUUCCUUUACUACAUAUCGUAAGGUCAAGAUGGAAAAUUUUUAUUAAAAAAAAGAAAAUACAUAGGGCAAAUACUUUUAGAAAAUGUAGGUAUGCGUUAUGUCUUUUGCAUGUAUUAUUGUGGUCCCAAUUAUCAUUAAAGUUUAUAAUCUAAUCCCAAAGCGUGAACAGAAUCAAUGAAUCAUCAACCAAGCACAUAAUCAUCUUUACAUAAUCUUAAUUUAUGUUGAUAUUAUGGGUUAGUUGUUGAAUAAUUAAGGUGAUCAUUGUUUAUUAUAGUUGAGUUGUCUAAUAAUGUAAUUGUGAGGUACGAAAAAAAUUAUAGAGAAAAAUGAUAAUAGAUAUUGAUGUUAGGUGCAUUGGGCCCUAAAAGAAAUAAGUGUGGAGAUCCGAAUCAAAGUUCCUUCUAGAUUAAUGUUCCUAAGCUAACGGAACAAUGGAAAAAAAGGUUGGGGAAGAGAGCCAAGGGGAUAACAAAGUUGGUCCCGGCGGGGCUCGAACCCGCGACCUUCGGCUCAUAAGACCAACGCUCUAACCAACUGAGCUACGGGACCAUGUUGAUAGUAUAGUACCUUUUAUUCUAAUAAAGAGUAAAACCUCUAUGAUUGAACUCUAGGCAUUUUGUAGAACUUGUGUUGGUUUUUUUUACUUGCAAUAGGUCUGGUAAGAAAGUUGUCGUGCUUAUUCAUUUGAAUAUACAUUAUUAGCUUUCUCGUAGGCCUGGUUACUCUUUUAACUCCACAAAUAAAGUUUUACACCGAUACUUGAAAAAAAAAAAGAGUAGCAUAUAAGACGUACAAAAACUCUUAGUGACCCAGAACAGACAAUAUCACACCAUACUAAAAGUAUUUUUAGAUUGUUGGAGUGAAACACCCCCUUCUUUCUCUUUUAACUCUCUAGCCCCAGGUCUUAUCUAGCUUCAAAUAUGACAAUUCAUAACAUCUAAUCAAAUACACCAAAUGAGAGAAAAAUUCAUGAAAAUGAUAUAACAUGAUUAUUUCCUCUUUUUUAUUCAAAACCUUUUACAUGUCUUCAUGAAAAAAGAAAAAAAAGAUUCAUUUUCCUUUUUCUUUUUGAGAUGAGAGAAUGUGUUUGGGGUGGGUGAUAAUUAUGAUUAUCAUCAUUAGGCCCAACCAAAGACACAUUCAAGAAGGUAAAAUAGCACCACAGAGAAAGGGUAUAGAGAAAAUGCUAAGAGACAAGUCCAAAGUGGAUAUGUUGUGCUGAAAAAUGCAAGAAGGCCAAUUACAGAGCAAACCACCAAAAUUAUUAGCACUUCAGCUGAAUAAUCCCAUCUUAGGUCCUUUAUACACACCACUGCCAAAAGUGUUGCCAUCCCCAUGAUAUUGUUCAUGAUCACUCCUCCAUAUAUCUGUCAAUUAACAAUCACACUUUUAGAACAAUCAAACUUCAAUUCUUUUUUUUUUUAAAUUGAAAAAUACUCCCUUCCUUUAUAUUUAAGUGUCUUGUUCUGCAUUUUAUUUUAAUUUUUUUCUAAAAAAAAAGGCCUCUUUCUAUAUUUGAUAACUAGGUCAAUCCUACAUUGUACGUAACUUGUUUGAGAUCACAAGAUUCAAAGAACAUUUUGGGACACUAGACUUAUUUUUAGGUGAACACCAUAAGAUUCAAAAGUCUAACUUCGUGUCUAGUCAAACUAAGAUACUUAAAUUAAAAUGAAGGGAGUACAUAAACAAUACAAAGGUACUCCAAUCAUAAUGAAAUGUUUGAACAAAUCAUUGUGUGUGUGAGAGAGAGAGAUAGAGAGAGUUAAACCUCUGAGAAUGUCAAAGAUGCAGUUAUUGAACUCUUCUGACUUGCUGGAAAUAUUGCUGCUAUUGCCAUUCUUGCAUUUAGAGCUAGAGGUACCAUAACAAAAGGGAUAAGGAAAGAAGGAAUCCCCAUAGCAUCUGAUAAAUCUUCUAUACUGAUCACUAGAGGUUUUGCACACAAUGUCAUUAUUGCAAUCCCCAACAGAACUUGAAGCACAGAUUUGUUAAAUGUCCAUGUCAACAACUUAUAGUUGAUUUCUCCAUCCUUUUCCACCUCAUACACUAUUUUGUCAACUUCACUCCACUUAAUCUACAAAAACAAAGCCACAUAUAGUGCUGAGAUUUGUCAACUGUGUUAAGCAUUUGUGUUUAAAUAUAUUUAUAGAGAGCAAUGCUGGCUACUUUACCUUGUCAUAUUCAUCAAUAGCCCUUUUCUUGUCAGGACAUUUAGUCACAUUAAUGGCCUCAUUGAGCCAUCUUGUCAUCCCAUGGACAAAUUCAUCUUCGUCGAUCAUAUCAUUACCAUUUCUAUCAAAAUCCCUCAACACUUUCUUGACAGUGUCUUCGCGAUUGAUUUCAACUUCUCCAAAUUUCACUGAACCUAUUAGUUCUUCUAAUUCAGGUUUUGUUAUGGCGUUGUUCCCGUCAAAGUCAUACUGAUGGAAGAUCCUGCCACAAUGUAAACAGAAUGAGUAGGAAUAGAAAGGUCUAAAACUUUUGCUCUUUGGAUUUAAUACAAAUAGUAUAAUGAAUUCUUAUACUGUCAGUAUGUACUGUUAAAUUUACAAGAGUAACUUACUCUCUAAUACGUUCGAUAUUGGGGGUUCCAUCAUCUUUGACAAGGUGUUCAGCUUCUAAUGCUUGAGUUUGAACAUGCUUCAAAAGUCUUGCCAUUAUAUGCUCAAUUUCAGCAAUUUCAUCCCUUCGCUUCUGAGUAUAUUUCUCAACAGCCUGUUGAGGAAAUUAUGCUUGAAGCCACAAGUAUUUCAUUUCCUCAAUAUGAAUUGAACCUAACUAUAAGUAAGAGUUCACUUGCCUUGCGUAAAAUCUUUUUAGAACUUGAAUCAUCACUUUGAGCUAACUGUGCUGCUUCUUCGAUCCAUUUUUUGCAUCCUUCAACAAACUCUUCCUCCUGGAUUAUUUUGUCGUUGUUUUUGUCAAAAGAAUUCAAUAUCUUAGAAAUAGCAUAAUCCUUGUCCACGUCGACAACCUUCCCUGAUUGCAUUUCAAGUAUAAGAUUCUCCAAUUCAGCAAGUGUUAGGCAUUUGUCGGCAUCUCUAUCAGUCUCAUGGAAUAAUCUGAAAACCAAAAUGGUUAUUAAUUAGCUUCAUUUUUAUAAGAGACUAUCUUUUAACUAAGAUCAAUCGUUACCUUUUAAUCACAUCUAUAUCAGGUUGCCCUUCUUCAUUAAUGAGCUUCCCUCUUGCAUGCCUUUGUACAUGAUGCAGAAAUCCUGCUAGCAAAUUCUCAUAUUUGGAGUACUCUAAACUUCUUUCUUGCAUCCACGGAUCCAAAACCUGAUGAAUAAAUUCAGAAAUUAAGAACGAUACACGAAUCCAAGGCCUUCAACUAGGAUACAUUCAUUAGUACAAAAUUUGUUAACAAAAUAUGAACAGAGGUGGAUCCAGCAUGUGGUAAAAGAAAUAAACUAACAUUCAUUUCUAAAUUAACCUACUGACUCUAAAUUCAGUAGCCAUCUCAGCAUACAGAGAUUCAAAAUUUUUAUUACCUGGUAAAGGAAGUAUGACACCAAAAGAAUGAGUGAUACUACAAGUGUGAUGAAAAUAAGAAUACGCCUUCCAACGAAUGAGUUGAAAGCAGUGACUGGCUGAACUAGUACAAAUGGGAUCAAGGAAAGGAGCAUAAUUCCAGCAGUGUAACUAGUUUCCUUGUCAAUCGUAACGCCAGUAUCUGUAAAGUAUACAUAUAUUUCAGCAUAGAAUUCAAUAAAAUGUACUAUAUGAAUAGAACAUAUCAGCAACUUAAAUUCAAGAAUGUGAACGAAAGAAUGAAAUACCUCGUAAGCCCUUCAAUCUUUUGAAAGGUGAAGAUUCUUCAGGUUGGAAAUCUGGUUUAUCUGUCAUAUUUUUGGUGCCACAUAUCAAACAUAUUCCCCACAUUAAAGUAAGAUUGAAUACUGUGGCUCCAACAGUAGUGCUAAUUCCAGAAGAGAUUAGAAACUGAGCUUUCUCUUUACUAGCAGAAAUUCCAGAUGCUACAAAAGUAAGUAACAUUAAUAUCAGUCCAUUUUGUUCAUGUUGCUUAAUUUCUAUUCCAUUUUACCUUCACCGUGUAUACCAUGUAAAACGAUUCUCCAAUUGAUGAUUUUUCAAUUUUAGAACAUGAAGGCUUGCUUUUUCUUAACCCUCUUAUUUAGCAGUUGCUUACUCACAUCAAGCUGACCUAAUAACAUGUCUUAGCUAGACCGAUACUAGUUGGGAUAUCACAUAAGAGGAAUUCCAUUAUAGGAGUUCUGUAAAAGAUCUCCUGAUUGUCAAAUGUUCUUUAUCUUGCUAACAACUCGUUUAUGUUGAUUCACUGAAAUGUCUUUAAAUUAUUGUCAACCACUUUCUGAAGGAGAGGGAACUAACGAACUCUACGUGGAAUACCUAUGUGUCUUAAUUAAGUAGCUGAUUGGAACUAUGCGUAUUCUGAUAUGAAAUAAGAUAUUCAAAUAAAUACUAUUUGUAUAGUGAAUAACUAUUCAUCUACUGUAAUUUCAUGCAAAUAGGAGACAAGAAACUAAUAAGUACCAAAGUUCAUUGAGAAAACAAGCUAAACUUUGUGCUAAGCUUGAUACUAUUGUCUAUAGACCACAGUUAUGUUGGGGAUGGCUCGGGUCAGAGUCAUGGCAGAAAUAAAGUUGCGCUCUUGUUAUUAGUUAUAACUUUUGGCAUCACAGUAAGUGCUUGAUCUUAACGAGUUGUAUUCCAGGUUAUUACUAUCUUCAGCAGUUAAAUUAAAGUGAGACAGAAAAAAUCAUAGUUAGGCAAUAGACUGAUUACCAAUCACCAUGACAAUCCUUGGCAAAGUCAUUAAGAUUUGAAAAACAGUGGCCCCAAAAAUGCCAGUGCCAAGAAUAUUGAAUAGAGUCUUGCUUCCUCUUGAUAUUAGGCUUUCCCCUGUAUUCAACAAGUACUGGCACACUACUAUCAAGAAAAUGUAGCCUGCAAUGUUGUUUGCACACGGAAAAACACCGUAAACCUGCUCACAUGUUUUGCCAGAAGAAGAAACCAAAGGUGGUCCAUGUUCUUGAUUGCUACUAACUUGAUCAAUCCCAUAUGAGAUAUUCAAUAAUUGGUUAUUAUCUAAAGAAUUUAGCUUUAGAACCCUGCACUGGACCUUUCCAAGUAGAAGAAUAAAUGUGAUAAAGCAUAGUGAAAGGCUUGGCAUCACUACCAAAGUACAAGCUAUAACUCUACUCUAUGAGUUUAGGAUAUAAUAAAAUGAAUUCCAAAUUUAGACAAAGGUACUUUUAUAGAUGAAAUUUUGCAAAUAAAAAAAAGAUAAAGGGUACUUAUAAUAGUGAAAGUUCUGCACAAAAGAUUAGGGUAUUUUUUAAUAUUGACAGUCUUGUUCCCACAAUGAUACUUUUAGUAGUGGAAGUUUUGCAUGAAAACAGGUCAUUUUUAGUUCUUUUAGCAUGUAAUUUUUCUUAUAUAUUUUUCAAGAUUGCAAAUCCAUGUGUUGAGGAAACUUAUCAGAAAAUAUAUAUCUUUAGGCUGAUCUGAUAAUGUAAUAAAGUUUUUCUUUAUAUUAUUUAAACUCUUUACUACUCACAUCAGAAAGCUAAACAGUCAUCUAUCAUGCAGAAAAUGGAGUAAAUAUUGAUAAAGAAAGAAAUCUCUCUUGUUGUUUUGUUGAUCAUGGAAUAAGUUGUUUAAUUGAUCCUUAUUUAACAAGAUUGGCAUUUUGAAACUGGCAUCUGUAUACUUUAGUAUCUUAUUCUAAUAUAUUUGAUAAAGCAUGUGGCAAUAACCAAUAACAUUGGUUUAUGGAAUCCUAUUCCUCAACACUUGGAAUUUUAACACCAUAAAAUGUAGUUGAAGAGACUUGAAAUAAUUUUCCAUUAUAUUCAAUAUAUAUUUUUCAAGAUUAUUAGACAACAGAAUUUAACUCUUUUUAAAAAAACAUGCAACAUUUGUUCAAUUAACCUUUUCUUCUCCAUGUCAAGGAAUCCUAAUUUUCACUAGUUGUGCAAGUUUAAUCUACACAACUCAAUUACAUUUAAUUGUUGUGGGGUGUAAAUUUUAGGAGAGCUCAAAGCUUCAAGAUUGGUGAGCCAGCAGAAACUAAUGGAGAUAAAUAAUCCUUCUUAUUAUCUCACCUAUUACAAGUAUGUGUUAUGGAGAAAAUAAUGUUGGGAGCGUCACCCCCGAAUGGGGCCCCGCUGUAAUUUGAAUUCAGUUGGGCUCCAAUGCGGGCUCCGGACACGGGAUAAGAAACACACACAAAAAAAUAAUCCGAAAUAGCAAACAUAAUAGACAUAAUAAGGCUCUAUAGUUAUAGUUUUGGUAAUUGCGCUCAUAGCUAUAGUUUGGUUUGCUAUGGAGGCUGCGGUUUGUAUAUUUAUGCCCGUUUGUAUAUUUCGCUUGCGAAUAUACAAAUAUGGUAAACAAAUUCUGUCUUUAUACAUUUAGGAAUUUUUCAGACCUCCAUUUGUAUAUUUCGCUUGCCAAUAUACAAACAAGUUAAUUUAUUAUGAAUUUUUCAUAAAUCGUAUACAAAUAACUAGGGUAAACAUAUACAUAAUUCUGGAUUUAUACAAUCAGGAAACGAAUUAUACAAAUUCUGAAUUUAUACAAAUUAGGAGAAUUAUACAAAUCAGACAAAUUAUACACAUCAGAUGAAUAGCGAGAAUUGAGGAAAUUGUAGCCGUGAAUUAUUAAAUUGUAGUUAUAGUACCUAAUAUAGGCUAAAUGUUUUCUGUUCUUCCUAAUAUUCCCCAAAAAGAAUAAGUAUGUGUGUUAUGCAAGAAUGACCUUAGGAUGUAGCAUCAUCAGUAUUUACGUCAUCAGGAAUUCAGUAUUACUGUUCUAUAAUAACUCAAAAUAUCUAGGAACAAAUACUACUCUGUUGAAGUCCAGAUAUAUAAUUUUCUUCGGGAUAUCUAGCUGGAGAUGCCAUACAAGUGAUAAGAUGACCAUUAACUUACAACGGUUGUGGGUUUAGGGUUAUGGAACCUUUAAACACUUUGCAUAGGAUAAAGUUGAAGGGACAUAAGUAAUAUUUUGCAUGUAAGAUUAAAGAUUUCUUAUUUGUUAUGAUAAAGAGACUCGAAUUUUGACUCCAAAAAGAACCAUUAUCACCAGGAACUUGUUCGAUUACCUUUUCCCUCUGCACAUCAAGAUUGGUGAGUAUUAGACAAGUUCCGUUGACAUCCCUUCAUACAUCAGUUAGGUCAAAGUUACUUUUAAUUAUAAUAAUAAAAUAUAAUUAUUUUUUUUUGAAUACCCUAACAGAACCAGCAGGUGAGCUUGUAACCCCUCUUGAAUUGUGUUUUUUUUACCAUGGAGGCCUACAUCAUGCUCAACGCUGCCUCUACUUUAAGUGGCUCUCAAGAGUUGGGCCUAGAAUAAACAAUUACAGUAGCAUAAAAGAUUGAAAAUGUCAAAGAUACAAUAAUUAAAUACACACCUGUAUAAAACUUUGGAAAUGUGAAAGACAAUGUACCAAUCCUGUGACAGCUGAAGACUACUUCCUACAAAAAUCUCUACUGCAAAUAAAAAUUUACAAAAUAAUUUGUGCACAAAAACAGGUUUUGCAGUCAUGUCAAUCAGUUCCCGCCAGAAAUGAAGCAAUACACCUCUCUCUACUUUUUUCCAAUUCACAGCAGCAAUUAGUACAUCUUAACAUUGCGAUAUUAGUUAAACAGUUGAGCAGUAAAGACAGAACGAACGUGUAAGGUUAACUUGCUGAGCAGGCAGCCACCUGCAUCUUCUGUCAAGUUCUUCCCUUCAACGGCAUCCCUCAAGGGACAACUACAUUAAUCAGAAAUGAGAUUGGCAGCGCUGAGAUGAGAUCUGGUGUAUUUACAUCAUGAUCUCUCCGCAAGGAUAUUUGUGAUACCUGAUCCUGACAUCAAGAACUUUCACAAAAUCCCGUUUGCCUACUUAGCCUGCUGUACUUUGGGAAACAUUUAUAGAAAUUAUAGCUAGUUCAUCAUGGAGAGCAUCAAGAGCUACUGAUCAUCAUUCACAUUCCAUCCAUUAAGAGUUCAAAACAGAGUUUCCAAAUCACAAAGCUUGAAUAUGGCCCCCGUAGCCGUAGUCCUUCAGGAGACCUUCAUCUUGCCUCCAAUUCUCUUUCAC